rnacentral:lncRNA from 1 species
UCUAGAUGUUGCUUUAAGGGCCUGAUGCUCAUAUUGCAUAAGAGCAAUGAUGCUAAACAGAUAUUGUAUAGUUUGUUGUAUGUUCAUUAAGUAGAAACCUGCUCUACUUUAAUUUGAAUGUUCAUUAGUCAUUACUUUACUAGCUGGAUUUUAGACAAGCAUUAUGCAUAAACCACCUCUAAUUUUUGAACAUUCUGUCUAUUUCAAAUGCAGGCCUUUGAUUCUUUAGUGGCCGCCCUCGAUACACGUGGCAGCCGGGAGGCACAGCUGCAUUCAAUGCUGCAAGUGAUCGAGCCCACCUUUAAGGAAGCUAUUAAGAGGAGAAGUGCAAGUAUAGAACUACCUGCUGGAAGGUAUCCAAAGAAUGGAGCUACUGACAUGAUAAGGGCAAAUUAUCAUAGUGAGGUUGGAAGCUCAAGCAGUACUCCUUUUGGUGCUACAUCUGAUAUUGUGACAGCAUAUUCUGAUUCUUUUAAAGUGGAGCUUGGGCGUAAUGAUUUUGAGAAGACAGCUAUCUCAAAAAGGGCAGAUAAAUUUUUAAAAUGGAUGUGGAGGGAAUGCUACAAUCAGGAAUUGACAUGUGCCAUGAAAUACGGGAAGAAAAGAUGCUCUGAAUUGUUGCAUUCUUGUAAUUGCUGCUAUCAGAUUUACUUAGCCGAAGAAAGGCACUGUCCUUCUUGCCAUAAGACUUUCAAAUCCAUUUACAAUUUUUCUGAUCAUACAACACAAUGUGAAGAGAAACGGAGAACUGACCCUUACUGGAAGAUGCAAAUCGCUGAUUAUUCUGUUCCAAUAGGAAUGGUAUUACUCAAGCUGCAGUUAGUUACGAUUGAGGUAAAGUCACAUGUUUCGGUGGUUCCUUAGUUCUUUUUUUUUUUUUAAUUUAUCUUUCCACUAGGCUGCUUAAGCAACUUAUUAGUCCCUGUUUUACAGGCAUGUAUACCAUCAGAAGCACUUCAACCAUUUUGGACUGAUGUGUAUCGGAAAUCUUGGAGUGUGAAGCUGUACACUACCAAAUCUAUUGCUGAAACAUUUCAGGUUACGCAUUUUUUUCCCACCAUUCUGGCUUCCCAUCAUUUCCUUUUCUUGACUGAAACUCUGGUUACAUGCAUUCAAGUUUCAUUUGCCUGUCAGAUGUAUAUAUUACUUUAAAUGUUAAUGGGUUUCCAGCACUUCUAGAACCCUUGCAUCACAUGGUUGGUGCCUUAUUCAAAACUGUGCUAAACUUUUUUUGGAAGUAUGUAACUACCUUAUUAAGUUAUUGUGAUGGAAUAACUUAUCCAGUCUCCAUCUUUGGCUGUCAUCAUUUAGAAUGUAAUUUUGGAAACUGCUUCUGAUGAGGUCUUGGCAUGGUCAAGCAUGUUGCCUUGAUUAAUGUGUUCUUUAGAAAUUAGAAGUUCAUUCACAAAUUAUGCUCUGGUUUGCCAGUCCCAACCUUGCAUCUGACCUAAACUGAGCUACCAAAUGAAAGGAUGGUGCAGACUGAUAAUACUAGCAUAACUAAAUAGCUUCAUUUUAACUUUAAUUCAAAGUGUAAUACUCCCUCCGUACCCAAAAUACUCGACGUCCUGGGCUAUUGGUUUGGUUUCGCAAAACCUGACGUUCUAAGCUGGCAGCUGCGCGCGUGGACGGGAAUACCCCUGGCGCUCGCGUCCGUUCGGCUCGCCAACGGACAAAAAUUAAGCGUUGGACAAAAAAAGGGCACUUGUGAGGUAUUGAACUCAGGACCUCAGGGCCAACACCCCCACGCACUAGCCAUCUGAACUGCGAAACUUUCUUGGACCCGUAGACCUAUUUAAUAAGGGAAAAGGAGGAAAAAUACCACCUCAUUAAUCACUCCUUGGUUACCACAAUCAUGUCCUAAACGUCAAGUUUUUUGGGUAUGGAGGGAGUACUGCUUUUGUGGUUAUCAGUUUCCUUUGUAAAAUUUUGAGUCACAUGUAUAUUGACUUUUGUAUAUCUGUUGGAUACUUGACACCUGACUAUCUGAGACUGUUUUUCCAUUCCCUUGCAGCUUUUGACUGUUCUGGAAGGUGCAAUAAGACCAGGUUGCCUCUCUUCUGAUUUUGAAACAACAAGUGAAUGUCUAAACUCACAGGGUAUUGCACCCCACAAUCCUGUGUUACCUGCUGGAUCUGCUUCUGCCCUUCCAUGGGUUCCUGACACUACUUCUGCUGUUAUGCUCCGAAUGUUAGACCUUGACUCAGCUAUUUCUUACGUGCAAAAUCAAAAGAUGGAGAGAGACGAUGGAGGUUUUAUGGUAAGUUAAAUUUUGAUAAUACUAUUCCUUUUUUGGUUGGAAGUUGAGGUAUGACUCUUCUUGGAGUUGGACUGACACAUGCAAUCAGAUUUAUAGUUUCAUGUUCUGGUCAAAACUUACCUCACUGAUCUGCUAAUAUACCUUCAAAUCGUGAAAUGUUUUUAUGUGCUUGAUUAUUUAUCUGGACAGACUUUUCAUCUAUAUAUAUGAUGCUACCAUCAGUUCCCUUGAAAAUUAUAUAAUUAAGUAUUUAUGUUAUUCCUUACCUACAGAAAUUUCCAUCAAGGUAUACAGUUGCUAAGAGCAAACAAGAAGGUAUACUUGAACCAACUGGUUUGAAUCUGUAUGAUGGAAGGUGGCUUCCUGGUAGUGGUCGUAGGGGACGUGGACGUGGAAGUAGAGGAGGUAGCAGGGGAGGCCGAGGUCGAAGUCGAGGUGGAAGGAUCCCAAGAGGCGUUAGCAGCUCCUCAAGGAUCGAAUUCAAGGAUGACAUUGUUGCUUCUGAUAAAGCACCAAGGAAGAAUGCACGCCGAGGGCGUGCACGUGGUCGUGGUAGUAGACGAGGACGUCGAACUGUGAGGCCUCGGCAGCCAUCUGCAGGCAGAGCCAGAUCAAUUCCAAAGGAAAAUUUGUUGGGAAGCUUUAGCAUGCUUAGCAGCUCAAAGCCUGCCCCCGUUGAGGAGUCUCCACAAAGCUCUGGUGCAGAUGAGUGGGGCCUGGAGACCAGAGUGACAUACAACGAAUGUGACGAGAACAGUUCUGGAUCAGAGUCAGAAGAUAACGAGGAAAACGGCCAGCCCAUGGAUGAGGAUUAUGAAGAGCAUGUUCCAGAUUACUCAGUGGGUUAUUCUAGUAGAUCCAGGCACCAUGGAACGAUGUCCAUGAUGGAUCAUGAGACCGACGAGGAGGAUGACGAUGCUGAAGGUGAUGAGAAUGUUGAAGAAGAUGAUGCAGAUCAAGCAGUUGAUGAUGCCGAUGUUGAGAUGGAUGAAGAUGAUGAGAUUGGUGAUGAUGGAGAGGACGGCAAUCUCGGAGGGGAGAUGAAUGCGGAUGAGGAUCCAGAUGCUACUUCAUAUUCAUCUGACUACAGUGAAUAAGAAAUCAUAAAUAAGGACCUUAUCACAGAUCCUUCCUCGGCAUGAAGCAGCGAUAGAUGCGGAACUGAGGAACUGAUGUUCGAUGGGUGGGAUGUCCAUUACUGUUUUUUAGGCAUCGCAGGUUUUAUUUUAAUAGAUUUUCUGGCGCAUGCCUACUCAUUCGACGAGUGGUUGUACCGUGCUAGUUAUGUCACUGGGGAAUUCCCCGAGUUAUACAGUCUCUAAGGAGAAAUGUUAUCAUAUCGCAAUUGGGUCCCAUGCUUGUACUAUCUUCGGCCCUCCAAAAAGUAUCUGCCUGGAAUGUUGCAUCUUCAACGAAUUGCUUACUCGCCAUCUCUUAAAAUUACAUAUAAAAGUAUAUAUAUAAGUGAUCUUUUAUCGACUUUGAUCUCUUAUGACUAGUAAGGAGUACUCUCCCCGUUCAAAUUUAUAGGCUGUUUUUGUUUUUCUUGAUACACGACUUUUAUUAUAUAUCUAGAUAUAUUGUAUAUCUAGGUGUAUAACAAAAAUUAUCAGAUAUCUAGAAAAGAUAAAAUGAUCUAUAAUUUGGGACAGAGGUGAUAGUUAUAAUUUGGGAUAGUUGGCGGCAGUUAGUAGUGUAGAUUCUCUAAGUCCAACAUAUUACCAAAAAGCCUAUUAUCUACUCUGGCUCAUGGGAGCGGAAUGUGCCAAGUGCACGACGGUGACUCCGAGAGGCCGUGCUAGGUGGUAGGCUGGUGUCUGAUGACCGGUCGGUCACCUCUGUGAUUGAGAGUAGGCUCUGUGAUUGAGUUAGGCUAUGGCCUUGUUUAGAUACACCUAAAAACUCAAAACUUUACAAGAUUUCUCAUCACAUUGAAUCUUACGGCACAUGCAUGAAGUAUUAAAUAUAAAUAAAAAAAAUAACUAAUUGCACAGUUUACCUGUAAAUCACGAGACAAAUCUUUUAAACCUAGUUACUCUAUAAUUAGACAAUGUUUAUUAAAUAAAAACGAAAAUGCUACAGUGUCAAAUCCAAAAACUUUUUGCAUCUAAACAAGGCCUAUGUUUGGUUGAGGCUGAUUUUUUUAUCAUAUAUUACAUUGAAUAUUUAGAUAUAUAUACAUAAAAUAUUAAAUAUAGACUAUUUACAAAACAAAAAACAGACGUAUUUUUUGAGCCUAAUUAGUGGACACUAAUUGUCAAAUAAAAUGAAAAUACUACUAUUAAAUUUUAACAUCCCCAACUAAACAAACUCUAAGCUUCUUGUGCGAGUAUGCGAGGUACUUUCUUGUUCUAGCGCCAGCACAUGGUGGUAGGCUGUUACUCUCUCCAUCUCUAAAUAAAUAUUAUUCUCAUUUUUCAACUGUAUAUGUGAUGAGUAAAAGUUAUAAUUUUAUUAGCCAUUCAAAAUUUUAGAGCCUACAAAAUUUGUAUUUUGAUCCGUAGGCCCAAAUGUAUACAUACUAUGUGUUUUUGUAUGAUAUGUAAAAUUAUUUUAUAAUUAUAAAAUAGGAAAAAUAUUACUAACUCCAAGCAAGUUACAGUGAAAAACCUCAUCUGUCUAGUAUUUCUUAAAAUAAAAUAUGCAAUUAUAUCUUCAUAAUUAAUCUUCAUGAGAACAUGAUUUUCAAGUGCAAUUAUAAACAAAAGAAUUCAAAGCUUAAAAAUUCAAAGCUUAAAAGUUCAAGAUAAUGAAACAAAAGAAGUCAAAGUAUUGACAUGAGAAAUUUUUAUGCUGUUAUGGAAACGCCUUGUAAUGCGCCUAUGCUUCCAGCUGUUCACCCUAAAAUACAAGGAAAACAAAUCAGGCCCGUUUGGUCUUCUUCGGCAAAGUUUAACUCGUGUCACAUCGAAUAUUUAGACACUUACAUAAAGUAUUAAAUAUUAACUAUUUAUAAAACUAAAAAUACAGCUAGAGAGUACUUUGCGAGAUAAAUCUUUUAAACCUAGUUAGUCAAUAAUUAAACACCAAUUAUUAAAUAAAAUGAAAAUACUACAGUGACUGUUAACACUCUCAAUCAAACACCCCCUCAGCCAUGAUGCUUCUAGGCCUAGCCGCCUAGGAAAUAACAGAAUUUCAGAAACAGGACAGGAUCAGCCAGGAACAGGAGCCAGUACUUGUCUACUCGUACGAUCAUACUAUCGUCCAGUCGUCAGGGCGGCGGUUGGUGCAGAUGAUCAGAGCAACUCCACAGAUCCCCUUUCCAUUAAGGCCUUGUUUAUUUUCUAAAAAAAUUCAAGAUUUCUUGUCACAUCAAAUCUUUAAACAUAUGCAUAAAACAUUAAAUAUAGAUAAAAAUAAAAACUAAUUAUACAAUUUGUCUAUAAUUUACGGACGAAUCUUUUGAGCCUAGUUAGUCUAUGAUUGGUCAAUAAUUAUCAAAUAUAAACGAAAAUACUACAGUAGCGAAAGUCAAAAAUUUACGCGAACUAAACAAGGCCUAAAUCAUCUACUGUAUAUGGGAUUGUUUUUUAGAAUAGAUCUUAUAUAAGGGAUCGAGAAAACUAAAUUUAUGUUUCUAGGGACUACUCUGGCCUUGUUUAGAUCAAAAACUUUUUAGAUUUAGACAUUGUAGCACUUUCGUUUGUAUUUAAUAAUUAUUGUCCAACCAUAUAUACUAAUUAAGCUCAAAAGAUCCGUCUCGCAAAUUACAAGCAAAAUGUGCAAUUAGUUCUCUUUUAUAUCUAUAUUUAUGCUCCGUGCAUGUGAUAUAAGAUUCGAUGUGAUGGAGAAUCUUGAAAAGUUUUUGGAUUUUAUGUGCAACUAAAUGUUUAGUUCAUCCCAAAUCCAAAAACUCUUCAAAAUUUCUCAUUACAUCGAAUCUUGCGGUAUAUACAUGAAGCAUUAAAUAUAAAUUAAAAAAAAUAACUAAUUAUACAGUUUGCUUGUAAUUUGCGAGACGAAUUUUUUGAGCCUAGUUAGUUUAUGGUUGGAUAAUAAUUGACAAAUACAAACGAAAGUGUUAUAGUGUCAAAAUCUAAAAAAAUUGGAUCUAAACAAGGCCUAUGUGGGUAUGCUUAGGUCCCAUGAAAUACAAAAUACAAAAUAUCAAGUACUUUGGAACGAUGAAAUGUAAAAUGCUAAAUUUUUAUAUGUAUAUUUAGUUCGAUGCAAAAUGCUAAAUUUUUUAUGAUGUUGAUGGGGGUGGGCAUGGGCUCCUAGACGCUUUUGGUCUUUUUUUUUAUUUUUUGAGGCCAAAAUCUAAAAUGAAGAAUAGCUACUUUCUAACUAAAAAUUUUACUUGUUUAGAUACACCCAAAACCUAAAACUUUAUAAGAUUCUCCGUUACAUCGAAUCUUGCGGCACAUACAUGAACUAUUAAAUAUAGAUAAAAAGAAUAACUAAUUGCGCAGUUUAUCUGUAAAUCACUAGACGAAUCUUUUAAGCCUAGUUACUCUAUAAUUAGACAAUAUUUGUUAAAUAAAAACAAAAAUACUAUAGUGUCAAAAUCCAAAAACUUUUUGUAUCUAAACAAGGGUGUUUAGUUUUAUUAGGUCCGUACGCUCGCAAGCAGCACAACUCUACUCCCCCACCCUUCACGAUCCGCCUUGGUACGGCAAUCAGACGAGAGCUGUCGUCCACGCUCGACUCCCUACGCUCUCGUCGCCAGCCUCCUCCCAACUUGCCACCCUUACCAGCGCCCACCACCGGAGAGAUGUCGGCAACUGACGGGACACCACCAGGGAGGCCGGUCGGUUGCGUCCAGAUGGAGCGACAUUGUAGCAGACGGAGAUGAGAGAAAGAGAUACAACGGUAGUAGGACAGAGACGGAAGCGCACUAGGAUAGAAAUUGAAGGGGUACAGAAUCGGUGGGCUGGGCCGCUAGUGUACAUGUUCGUUUCGGGGUAUUCAAAAGCUCUUCUUUUCUUCUUCUUAAAAAAAGGUCAUUUUCUUUUAGUUUAAUUUUUAGACUUAAUUCAGGCAUUUGUGACCAAAAAUGAAUUCAAACAUUAGUUAUACCACUCCUUCAGAGAAUUUUUUAUUGUAUCUAUAGUCUAUUUUAGUUUAAGCCUGUAGCAACGCGCCCUAUUUUUUUAUGGCUAGUUCUUACCCGUGUGUAACUUUACGAUAUACUCCCUUUAUUCCAUUGAAAGUGUUAUUUUUAACUAUUGGGUUUCAUGUUUGGUCAUUAGUCUUAUUUUUUUUUUGUAAAUUAUAAAAUAAAUAAAUUAUUAUUAAAGUAUCUCUAAUGAUAAAAAUAAGUCAUAACAAAAUAAUUACUCUCUCCAUCCCAAAUUAUAAGUCAUUUUAAGAAUUUUAGAGAGUCAAAGCAUUUUCACGUUUGACCAAAAUUAUAGAGAAAAAUACUAAGAUUUGUAACGUAAAGUGAGUAUACUAUGAAAAUAUAAUUAGGAAAAAAAAUCUAAUGAUACUUAGUUAGUACUAUAAUAAUUAUUAUUUUAUAAUAUAAAUUUGGUCAAAUUUAGAAAAGUUUGACUCUCCAAAAUUUUUGGAAUGACUUACAAUUUGGGAUGGAGGGAGUACUAUUUAUACAAAAAUUUUGAAUAAUAUGAAUGGUCAAACAAGAUGUUCCAGAACGUCGCUUUCUAGCUACAUCAAAAUGGGCUGCAUUCUUGCUUGUCCUGCUCUUUGCGUCGCUAGCAAAAUAUAAGUCUUCAUCACAUCUUUGCAUCGUGCUCUUUACACACAUAACAUUGCUGAAUGUAUUGCCCUUAUUUUUUUUGGCACUAUAUUAUAGCACCGAUCAACACAUAACAUUGAAUUCUACGAUCCACGCAUAAGAGGCCAGAUAUUCAAAUCGUGUGACAUAUGAUAUAAAUCAAAGAAUCGCUAUACAUUUGCUGUCUCUUUUUUCGACCUUUAAUUAUGGGUGUAUAUCUAUUGUCAUUUUUAGCUUCCACGACAUGUAGUUUGGCUCAAUUGGAUGUCUUUGGAUUGUUCCCUCCAUCUCAAUAAGAUGUUGAACUUUUUUUAGCCCAAGUUUGACCAGUCAUCAAAAAAUUUAUGCAAACAUAGUCAAAUUUAAGUUACUCUUGAAAAACUAUUAUUAAUAAACCAAACUACAACAAAAGAAGUGGCGUUUUACAUAAAUUUUAAAAUAAUACAAAUAGUCAAAUUUGAUGUUAAAAAAAUCAAAUGUUUUAUAAUUUGGGAUAGAUUAAGUACUAUUUGUUCUAGUCUUCUUGUUUUCGAAUGCCUUUGGCAAUACCCACUAAUGCCUCAGCCUUGGCCAUUCCUAAAAAGAGUGUUUUCAGAUUUGAAAACUUUUGGAUGGAACAUCAGGACUUUUUUUUUCUCGAUCGGGUGUUUAACCCGUAUUUCAUUAAGAGGAGCGUAACCACAUGUUACAGAGGUUUUAGGUAUUGGCGAGCAGCCAAUAGGCUAAACACCUAGUUGCAAGACCUAAGCGAACUAAUUACAGAACGAAGACAAGACGCGACCAAGCCUGCGAAACCUCGAAGAGCGAAGAGUACCCCGCCUGUGCCCAAUCUUCUGCCUCACGAGUGGUGUCAACACACAAACUGAUCAGAUCGGGUGCCGCCCGCCGACCAAAAACCAGGUCAUUCCUGUGCUUCCAAAGGUUCCAUGCAACUAACAGGAAGAUCGAGUCAGCCGACGGCCUUGAUUCCUUGUCCAUCCUCUUGCGCUGGCGCAGCCACCAAGUAGCUAGGUCCUCCUCUUGAACAGGGACCAGCGCCCCUAAGUCUAUCGGAGAGAGCAACGCAUGCCACAGCUGAACAUCAGGACUUCAUGCCCCUUGUGCUACAUGUGUGGUCGACCCCUCUCGCUGAAACUGAUGCUGCUAAAGUCAUCACUGCAAAAUUCAAAAACCUUAGGAAAGUUUUGAAGAAUUGGCAAAAAAAAGUUGUCUAAUCUCAAAUUAGCAAUCCGAAAUGUUAAAUUAGUGUUGACCUUCUUUCUGUUCCUAGAGGAAUUUAGAGAUUUAUCAAUUCCUAAAUGGAAUUUCAAAAAGCUUCUGGAAAACAAACUUAGCUCUCGUCUCAGACAACAAUGCAUCUACUAGAAACAAAGAGGCUCCAUCAAAUGGGUAACACUGGGUGAUGCUAGUACCAAAUUCUUUCAUGCCAAUGCCUCUAUCAGGUUUAGAAGAAACCUCAUCACCUCCCUUGAAAAUGUCGAUGGUGAUUUAAUCUAUGAUCAUGAUACUAAAUCCCUCUUGAUCUAGGAAUCUUUCAGAGAAAGGCUUGAAACCUCCUCUUUUCAAGGUAUUCAAUUUAAUCUAAUUGCUCUAAUACAGCAUGAUACCGACCUCACUUCUCUAGGUCCCUUUUCGAAAGGAGAAAGUUGAUUCUGUGAUAAAGCUUCUCCCAUCUAAUAAAGCCCCUGGUCCAAAUGGUUUCAACACUGAUUUUAUAAAAAGUUAUUGGCAUAUUAUUUGUAAUGAUUUCUAUCAACUCUGCAAUGCAUUUUAUAAUGGAUCCAUUUGCCUGCAAAGCUUAAAUGGAUCUCAUAUUACCCUAGUCCCCAAACACGACAAUGCAGUCAAGGUUUCAGACUUUAGACUAAUAUCACUCCUCAAUACCUCCAUCAAGAUCCUGACCAAGUUGCUAGCCAACAGGUUACAAAGAGUAAUACCUAAGCUGAUACACAAAAACAAGUAUGGCUUUCUUAAAGGGAGGACAAUUCAGGAUUGCUUGGCUUGGUCUCUAGAAUAUCUUCACCUUUGUCAUCAGUUGAGAAAAGAAACCAUCAUUUUAAAGCUUGAUUUUAAAAAACCUUUCACAAAGUCGAGCACCAACUUAUGAUUUAGAUUAUGCAACAAAAAGGGCUUCGUGCAAGAUGGGUUGCCUAUAUAAAGAUGAUCUUUGGAUGUGGCACCUCAGCUGUUCUGCUAAAUAGGAUCAAAAAGUUUUUCAUUGCAAGCAUGGUGUUAGACAGGGUGAUCUUUUAUCACCUUUGCUUUUUGUCUUGGCUGCUGAUUUUAUUCAGACCAUUCUAAAUACUGCUAAACAGUGUGGGAUCCUUUCUCUGCCUUUAGAUCUCCCACAUGACCAGGAUUUUCCUAUUUUACAGUAUGCUGAUGACACUUUGAUUUUUAUGCAAGGUGAUGCUAGACAAAUUUUUUUCCUAAAAGCAAUCCUAAACUCCUUUGCUGACUCCACUGGUCUAAAAGUCAACUAUGCUAAGUCUAUGAUGGUUCCAAUCAAUGUUUUCGAACAUAAGAUGAAUAUUUUAGCUAGCACCUUUGGUUGUUCAAUUGGGUCUCUUCCUUUCACCUAUCUCGGCUUGCCACUAAGCAUCACAAAGCCAACUAUAGCUGACUUUUGGCCUCUGGUUUCCAAGUGUGAAAGAAUGUUAGUGACAAUAUCCUCUUUCAUGAGCCAAGCUGGUAGACUUCAAAUGACAAAUGUUGUCCUCAGUGCUUUACCCACUUAUGCCAUGUGCGCUUACCUCCUCCCAAAGACAGUGAUUAGGCAGAUUGAUAAAUUUAGAACGCAUUGCUUAUGGAGAGGGUCUGAUCCACACUCCAAAACCCCCCAAAAAGCUGCCUGGAAGCUGGUCUGUAACUCUAAAGAAAAUGGUGGUUUAGGUGUUCAUGAUCUUUAUAUUCAGAAUGAAAGUUUGCUACUCAAACAUCUCCACAAAUUCUUCAAUAAAUGUGAUAUUCCUUGGGUCCAACUCAUGUGGAAUACCCAUUAUAUUGGUGACUCUAUCCCCAUUAAUGAUAGAAAGGGAUCCUUUUGGUGGAAAGAUAUCUUCAAGCUAAUGGGAAAAUAUAAAGAUAUGGCCUCUGUUAUAAUUGGAGAUGGCUCAACCUGUCUGUUUUGGUCAGAUUUGUGGCAUGGACCCCCUCUGAAUGUUCAAUGUCUAGAGUUGUUCUCCUUCUAAAAAGGAAUAAUGUUUCAGUUCAUCUUUUCAUGAUUGCUAAAAAUACAUCAGAUUUGUUUCAUUUGCCUCGCUCUGUAGAAGCUUACGGCCAGUUCCAAGCCUUGCUCGUCAUCUUGGUCAAACCAAUGAUAACUAGAAUUACAAGUGGGGAUCUAAUAUGUUCAUCUCAAGUAAAGCUUAUUUGCAUUUGCUAGGCUCUAUUAUAGUCUCGUCGGUAUUUUAGUGGCUCUAGAAUUCAAUUUGUUUACCAAAGAGGAAAGUCUCUUUUUGGUUAGCUUUGAAUGAUCACCUAAGCACGAGAGAAAUCCUAAGAAGAAGAAAUGUGGAUCUGCCGAGCUAUAAUUGUGUGCUAUGUCAUCUGAAUGUUGAAGAAUCUUUGCAACACCUCUUUUCUGGACUGCCCUUUUGCAAUUUCUUGCUAGAACAUUUUUGGACUGGCUCAGCUGAUUUAGGAUAAUCUGAUUGAUACAGUACCCCUCUUCAGGUUACAGAUUAACAAGUCUUUCUUCAUGGAGAUAAUUAUUGCAACGUUCUAGGAAAUCUGGUCUCCUAGAAAUGAUGUCAUCUUUAGAAAUCGUAGUCACUCUUUGCAAGCUGUUAAGUUCAUCUUUAAACAGGAGUUAGCUUGGGUUAAGCUCAGGGCUAAGAAGUCUUUUAGUUCCCAGUUGCAGUUAUGGCUAGACAACUGUGUGUAAUCUUGUUAUUUUUCUUAUUUCCUUCUUUGUCUCCUCAUGCUUAAUUUCUGGAAACAGUUGUUUCAAUUUUUAAUAAAGUUACAGUAGGAGAAAACUCCUCUUGAUUCCCUAAAAAAAACUACUGCAGCUAGCUGCUCCCUCCAGCAGUGGAGACCGUUAACAGCCAACACUUUUCAUGGGCCUUUUGCAAUAUAUAAGUGUACAAUACAAAUGGUGUUCACUUUUUGGAUAUCAAUGGAAAAUGAAUAUAUUUCGAGAGUACCCCAAGAUGUGUAGGAACAAAUAGGCCAUAACAGAAUAACUGACAUCAAGCAUAAACACGCAAAAAGUUCAUACUAUUUCUUAUUUACAACCCUGCGAGACCAGAACGUAUAUAUGCCAGUCAGGAAGCAAGACACACUGACAAGGAAAAAAAAAAGGAACCCCUCCUUUGCCAGCCUCGGCCCUCCCAGAAGCAAGCUACUUUAUUUGCCAAUGUGUUUGGCUAAAGUAAUUCUUCUUACAUUACAAAUAUGUUGAUAAUUAUCCCGAACAUAACUAGGACGACCAGGGAGUUGAUUUGUUCAGGAACCGGAACCUUCAGCCUUGGUUCUUCACAACAAGAACUGGACGCUUAGAAUGGUCUACACAGUAGUUACUGACGCUCCCAACAAACAACCUGCAUCGACGAUAAAGGAUAGUGGUCAGAAAACAGAUGGCCAAGUGCUCAGGAUUAUUCUUGUUGGGUGCCUUGCGCCACAUAAAAGGAAGCCGAUCCAUGGAACACAAUAUUUUCUUCAAGUUAUAUUGGGUCUCUUCGGAGGAAUUGUUGCUCAAAGCAAAACUUGCCAGAAAUGGUUUGUGUUAACUGCCGCCCAAUAUAAUGCUCGAGUGACUAAGAAAGAACAAUUUUGGAAUGUGGAGAAAAAGAACUUGCCACUGUCAGUAUGUAGUAGUGAAAUCGAAGAAAUGUCCUAACUACUCAUUAAGCCAGAGCUAGAAUGUUGGCUAAACAAGGCUUCCUGGUCAGUAAGCUAGAACUGGAAUGUGGCUCAGCUUUUUUCAGAAAUGACUUCACAAAGUACUCCUAUAUUUGAUUAACUAGAAUGCAGCAAGUAGGUGUAUAUCGUUCCAUUAAAUAUGCAACUUGCGCUCUCCUGUCUCGUGCAAUGGUUUUACAAGUUCCUUCAGUCAAAUGCACAAUGUUGUUGUUUAACUAUCAUCAAUGAAACUUGAGAGUAUUUGAUUAUAUUCACAUGAGUAAAUUCACAUAUAAAUACAACUACCAAUUACUUUGUGCUGGCAACUCGGAAAAUAGACACAUAAACAUAAUAACGAGAUUCAGAUACUAAACUAUAUAUACCUUUGUAUUGGCCCACGACUGUGGCUUCCAAGAACCAGCAGAUCACAUUUUUCAUCUCAGCUGCUUCACAUAUCACCUCUUUUGCAUCUCCUACCUCAACAAUUGUCCCUACAGCAACCUGCAAUGCAAUUCAAACAGGGGUUGUAUAGUGGUAAUGGCAAUGGUAAUUCUAGCUACAACCACCUGCAAUUCAAACAUGGGGAGGAAGGUAAUGGCAGAUUGUUGCAACGAAAUGGCAAUACUGAAUAUGUGAAAAACACACACUGUUGCAGUCUGGAAUAAGGUAAACAAGCUCUGCUCGAUGUCUCAAUCUUUGUGCAUGUUACGAAGCCAGUGGGCAAUGUUCAGGUAAAGUUGUUUUUUUUACGAAGUCGGGUAAAGUUGUAAGAGCAUCUCCAAUAGUUUUGUAAAUUUCGUUUCCCAAAUCAUGGUAUUUGCCAACUACUAAAAUUAUAUGGGAAGAGAAAAAAGAGUUCAUCUCCAAUAGUUUGGCAUAAUUCACUUGGCAAAAUGAAAAUUUGGUCCCACAAACUUAUUUUUUCCUCGGGUAAAUUUUUUCCGCGCCAUGCGAGGGAGUAGGCGCGCAUUUGUCCGCCGCCGCCGAGUCCUUGGCGCCCUUCGCUUCCAGGCGGCUAGCAGUUCCUGGCGGCCAGCGAUACCUCAACGCCUAGCCAGCAGAAUCUCGUGCGAUCAGCAAGACCUCAUUGCAUAAGUAAAUGAUCCGUCCUUCAGCUCCUCAAACAAGCCCUUCGUCCCUGUCUUUGCUGCCGCAGGUUCUUUGUGCUUAAUUCGUAGAUGAAUUACUUGUUGCCAGGUUGGUUCAUAUAUAGUUUGUUUCAUUUUUUUUGUUCACAAUUGUCAUUUGCAGGCGGAUUAGACGUCAUGAGAGCUUCCAAAUCACUUCUCCAAAGAGAAAUGGAAGACGAAUCUUCACGUGAUGAUGAUUAUUUCAUCUUGACGGCUGCUGGAAUUGUGCAAAUGUUUUCGGGUAAAAAACGUCGUGAUUCUGUCCCUGGACAUGUCGUUAUUUAUCGAGAUAGAGAAGGCGGCAAUGAUAGGAUGUUUCAAGAUUAUUUGGCGGAUAAUCCAACGUACGGUCCACAUUUAUUUCGUCGGAGGUUGGUGUUAAUUCAUCUUUGAUUAGCCCCGUAGUAUACAAUUUCUAUUUAUAUAGCAUGUUCAACUUUUGUUUGUUUUCUUCAGAUACAGGAUGAGUAGGGAGCUUUUCGUACGCAUAAUGAAUGCUGUUGAGUCACGUGAUGAUUACUUUGUGCGAAAAAGAAAUGCGGCCAAUGUGCUUGGAUUAAGUUGCUUCCAAAAAGUCACUGCUGCUUUUCGUAUGUUGACGUAUGGGGUUUCUGCUGAUGCUACAGAUGAGUAUGUUUGCAUUGACGAAAGUACUGCACUUGAGAGCCUACGUAAGUUUGUUGCUGUAGUUGUUGAUUUAUUUAAAGAUGAAUACCUAAGACAUCCCACUGAGGCUGACACAGCACGCUUAAUGAGACUCGGACAGCAAAAAGGUUUUCCUGGAAUGUUGGGGUCCAUCGACUGUAUGCAUUGGGCGUGGAAGAAUUGUAGGGCAUGAGAACAAGCCAACUAUUAUUCUAGAAGCUGUUGCUUCGAACGACCUUUGGAUUUGGCAUGCUUUUUUUUGGAAUGCCUGGGUCUCAUAAUGACAUCAAUGUCCUUCACCGGUCUCCUUUAUUUGAAAACCUGGCAGAGGGUCGAGCUCGAGAGGUCAACUACACAAUUAAUGGUCAUGAUUAUAAUAUGGGUUAUUAUCUAGCAGAUGGUAUAUAUCCCACAUGGGCUACUUUAGUCAAGUCCAUAUCUCUUCCUAUGGGGAACAAGAAGAAAUAUUUUGCCAAGGCACAAGAAGCAGCGAGGAAGGAUGUCGAAAGAGCUUUUGGGGUUCUGCAAUCCAGGUUCGCCAUUGUGCGAGGACCAGCUCGCUUGUGGGACACAGAAACACUAGGGUUGAUCAUGAAGGCUUGUGUGAUCAUACACAAUAUGAUUGUUGAAGAUGAAGGAUUCGUCGACCAUAGAUUACGGUGGUCAAAAUGUGCAACCUUCUCGUGGCCAGCCUACACGAACACUUCAUGAAUUUAUUGAUGCACAUAAAAGGAUCAGAGACAAAGAAAAACAUUUCCAGUUAAAAGAAGACCUCAUUGAGCACCUAUGGAACCAUCAUCCAGAUUUAUAUUAGCUAUAUAUAUCUAAUGUACUCAUUUAAAUUAGUGUGCCAUCGCUUUAUUGUAAUAAACAUUUUUUAAAACAAGUGUGUCAUGAGUUCUAUCUUUUUAUAAACAAAUGUGUCGUCGUUGCAUGUAUUUAGUUGCAGAGAGAGUCACAUUAUCAUGAACAAUCAAAAGAGCGGCAUUUUCCUACAUGUUAAUGAGUGCAGUUUGCACAUGCGUCCUACUUCAGCUGAAUCCUAGCUUCAGAUCAGCAGCACCAUGCAUCUGAACCCCGACUCCAAGGUCUCCAGUCUGACCAGACGAAAGCAUCUAUCUCAAGUAAUCAGUUGGUUCCUUCAUAUGGCCUUUGCUUGCACAAACAGAAACAAUGGAGUUCCAUGAGAUGACAUCCUCAGAAAGGAUAUCAGCCGCACACAACAGGCAUCGUAAAAACGACGUUUGUAUGGACACAGCAAGCAACAUAUAAAAUAGAUAUAAAACAUAAAUAAAUUCUUGUCUGAAACGUAAAUGACUUAAUAUGAAAACGUUCUGUGAAGCACACCAAACAUAAAUACAUUGUUCUCUGAAACAUAAAAAAUUAAUCAAAUCUAAUUUGCCAAACGUCGAGCGAUGAUAUUUUGCUGCAUCGUUUCGUAGUAUUAUUGUCGCUGCAGCGGGGUGAGAGAGGUCAUGUCCAUUUGCAUUAUUUCUUUUUCCUCUUUGAUUAAGUCAGAUUCAGCUCUUUUUUCUUCUAUUGAAAAUCGCUUCUUCUCUAGCUCAAGUGAAACUAGGAACCUCUCCCCUUUCUUCUUCUCUCUCUCUAAAUCAAAAGCCUCCUUUUUACUCUACAACUUGUCCAAUGCCUCCAUGCAAGCUUCGGUUCCGCCUCGCUUCAGAGCUUCUUUUGCUAUCUUCUGACCUUGUGGCCUCAUUCUUGCUUCGGAAUGUGGUACUGCAAUCCCUGUGACAUCUUCAGCAUUGAUGGCAGCUACAGUCCUGGGCGUGGAGUCUAUGUUAACCUUCUGUUUUUUCUUACUGGUUUGUUUGUGCUGCUCAGCUAGUUCCUUCCUCUUGGCCUGCCACUUGUCUUCUUUAUUCAACUUAUUCCAACAUGGUAAAAGAGUAAAUGACUUCUUGUCUUCGUCUAAUCCCUUGUACACCUUCCAGUGCUUGAGAAAUCUGCACAUGAUAAUAAUCUUCACAAAUGAACCAGAUACAUAAAUAAAAAUUAAAAAAAAUUAAAGAACGAACAAAGAAACAAACCAUAUCUUGAAUAGUUGCUCCACUUUGAUUCCUUUGCUCAACCUUCUCGUAGCAUGCACAAAACUUAUUCACUUCCUUCUGAAUAGUCAGCCACCUAUGCAUAAUCGAACUCUCUGACCUAGAAGCUGGAGUUGUCUUGUGUUCCUCAAAGUAAGCUCGAAUUCUACCCCAAAAUGACGAACGGGUUUGAUUAGCUCCAUGAAUAGGAUCUUUGCUAACGUUCAACCAAGCUGAGCAUACAGCUAUAUCCUCAUCGUCAUCAAAAUUUUUGGUCCUCUUAGACGAACCUUUUGUACUGGUACGACGUCCGGCACCUUGUUGUGGCUGCACUUGCUCAUCAACUAGUUGCGCUUCACAAGCCAUGUCAUUAAUUUCUUGAGUCUCCACUGUAGGAAAGGUCAAGUCUUCCAAACUAGGAACAUCAACAUAAUCUCCCGUCACCAGGUUUGUAAAAUAUCCACCUCCUUCCAUUGGAGCAAAACUACAAAUUAAGACAAAUAAAUCAAUGACAAGUCGAUUCAACAUAACAGUAAUGCACCAUAAAGUGUAAAUAAACUACAAUGUCCACAAACAACAAUGCAUAAAUAUUAUAAAUUUGGACGAAUACAUAAAUGAAAAAUCCAUAGACGUCUCUACUGUGUGUAACAAUGAAACAAUUCUGCAGAUGCUUUCGAUAAUUUUCUUCUAUCUAGGCUCCAAUUCCUGACUGCAAUUUUCAUCAGGCAUCCAGGCACUGGUGUAUCUGAAGCCAAAUCAGAUAGGCGAUCCUUGAAUCGAUCACAUGGGCUAGCAUCAGUACACAUCACAAGGGGCUAGCUCCUUGAAUCCAUCGCAACAAGAUGCAAAGCAGGCUGUGUACGUAGCUAGCAGUAGUGUGUGGUUGUGCGUGAUUAAGGCUAAGGUACAUCAUGUGUACGUUGUAGAUCAAAGAACAUCCGUCUACUUGGUUCUAUUCCACCAUGGCGCAGGCCAGCCAGCGUCGGUGCCUUUUUGCAUCACCACUAGCCUCCUCGUCCGGCGCCGUGCAACGAACGAGAGGAGCAGUCGACGAUUGCAUCGCGAGAACGGACAAGAACAAGAAUCUAUACCUGAACCCUAGCAGCCGGCGGCGUCGCUGAUCCUGUCCGCUACACGGCAAUUGGGCUUCGCGGAGCGCGGGAAGGCGACGGAUUCCUCUUCGUGCGCGCGGGAAGAAGGCGGCGGCGCGGAGAGAAGCCAGAUGCGCGCGACGUGAAGACGCGUAUAUUUGCGCGUGAUGAAGGAAAUUAUGCCAAGGCCUUGUUUAGUUCCGAAAAGUGAAAAGUUUUCAGUACUGUAGCACUUUCGUUUGUUUGUGACAAAUAUUAUCCAAUCAUGGACUAACUAGGAUCAAAAGAUUCGUCUCGUAAUUUCCAGCUAAACUGUGUAAUUAGUUUUUGUUUUCGUCUAUAUUUAAUGUUUCAUGCAUGUGCCACAAGAUUCGAUGUGACGGGGAAUCUUGAAAACUUUUUGGUUUUCAGGGUGAACUAAACAAGGCCCAAGUUCCAAAAGAUGCCAAAGGAGGAUGCCAAACUAUUGGAGAGAGAUUUUUCUUCUUUUUCCAAAAAAUCAAGGAUGUCAAAGGGUUUUGCAAAACUGUUGGAGAUGCUCUCCAACAACUCCUUAAAAUUCACUUGGUAUAUCUUGAGUUAUAGGAACUUGCUAUUUUGUUUGGCAAGGAGAAAAAUGAAGUGUCUCCAACAAAUUGGUAUUUUCACUUGGUAAAAUUGAAAAAAAAAAUAGGCCCACCUUUGUCAAACCGGUACUGGGUCUUCCAAUCACGUGAAAUUGGCUUACCUGCACGUCGCGUGCGUGGCCGCCGCCGCCGGUCGACCGCGACCGUACUUCCCCGAUCGAAGCCUGACGGAACGAAGUCGGCGUCGUUCAGCUAGUCCACCGAGGGAAGCCUCACGGAACGAAGCCGGCCAGCACUUCUGCGUGAAGAAGUCGGACAGCACCGGCGGGUCGUCGGCGGGGACGAAGGAGAGCCCGUGGCGUCUGUGCACGCCGGCGGAGGUGGAGCAGGUGAAGCUGCUGCUGUGCGUGGUGCCCAUCUUCGCGUGCACCAUCGUGUUCAACACCAUCCUGGCGCAGCUGCAGACCUUCUCCGUGCAGCACGGCAGUGCAGCAGGGCAGCGCCAUGGACGUCCCGCCGGCGUCGCUGCAAGCGAUCCCCUACAUCAUGCUCGUGGCGCUCGUCCCGGCGUACGAGGCCGCCUUCGUCCCCGCCAUGCGCCGCCUCACGGGCAUCGCCACGGGGAUCACCCCGCUCCAGCGCAUCGGCGUCGGCCUCUUCGCCGUCACCUUCUCCAUGGUCGCCGCCGCGCUCGUCGAGGCCCGCCGGCGCCGCCACGCCACGGACGGCGGACGGCUCCUCUCCAUCUUCUGGAUCGCGCCGCGGACGGUGGGGAUGGAGAAGUCGAUCGACGACGGGGAGGGUUUGGCGCGCACCGGGGAAGAUCGCUCGCGCGCGUGGGAGAGAAACAUCGAAGCCCGAAAACUGCGAUACGCAGUGUAUGCCGCGCGCGGAGAUAUACGCGUGCGGUGUCGAUGUUUAGCAAGUUGGGAAAUAUACCAACUGAAUUUAAGGAGUUAUUGGAGAUGUGUUUUUGUGUUUUUCUCAAAAUAAUAAGAAUACCAAGUGGAUUUGAGGAGUUGUUGGAGAUGCUCUAAGAAGUUGCAACCUAAAUCUCUCUAUGGCUCUGGAAAAGGAAACCGGAUCUGCAGUGCACGUACCCCAUGCUCAGCGUAGAUGGCCCUGACCUUGUCGAGGAGCGCCUGCGUGAACUGCCUCUGCUGCUCCUGCAUCGACUUGAUGAGCUCCGGAGCUACCAGAGGAACGAUGCCAACUAAUAAAUCAAUCGAAGCAUCCCACUCAACCGACAUUGAGAUAUGGAGUGAGCAAGGAAAUACUCCUAGAUGACAUCGAUAUCGAGCAGUAUGUACGAGGUGCGCCAAAGGCCGCGCCGGAGACAUAUCCGAGGGGGAAGGGCGGCUACACGGUGAGCACCAGCAGCGGCGGCGCCAGCGUGGGCUCACCAGGAUGGCCACGCUCGCUACGCCAUCCCGCUCCGCGCAAGCUCGGCUCACCUGCACCACUGCACUCCACGCCAGCCAUCCUCUCAUUCGUGAUGUCGCGUUCGUCCAUAGCCCCACUCACCUGCGCUUCACGCGCAUCCACACUCGCUUGCCGGCCAGGCUCUCCCACGGCCGCCUAGUGCAGCGCUCGCCCACGCCUCCGCCCUCACAAGGCGGCCGCCCCCGCGCACCCGACCUCGCCUCGACGCUCGUGAGCCUACUACCCUGCGUGCUUGUCUGCGCCUCAGCGCUCGCGACCGGGCCGCCCUGCGCCCGUCCACUCCUCGUGCCUCGAAUGCCGCCCGUGCCCCCACCCCGUGCCUCCGCGCUAGAGAGCCGGUCGCACUGCGUGCUCGCAAAGCGGGUCGCUCGCGCCGCCACGCUAGCUCGCCGGAGCUGUGCGCGCUCGUCGGCGUUGCUGCGUCCGCUCGCCCACGCUGCCGCGUUUGCAUGCCGGCCGCCGUGCUCGCUCGCUCGCUCGCAUGUUCUUCGGUGGUGCGGUGUGCUGCUUGUCUCCUGCUUGCGCCCGUCCGUGAAGGUCAUGCAAGUUGACGGCCAUCUAUCACGCUCGAUGCCGUGAAGGCCGAUCCAUGAUGACAUCGCUAUCAUGCUGACGCGGGACUCCAUGACGACGAUAGGCACGAGCACACAGACCUCCAUGGCCGCUUGGAGGUCGGCCAAGGAUCCUCUGAACUCGUCGUCGGUUUUAAAUAGAGGGCUAAUUUGUUUAGCGGUUUAUGUUUAAAACAGCUAAUAAUGGAGCUAAAUUGGACUAUAGCAGAAUAUAACGGCUAAAUUGUACAUAAACACAAAUAGCGGUACCUUACCUCAAAAGUCUAUAGGGCUUGUAGGUGUCUGGACAUGUGAUCCAGACACUUAUGAGUGAUCGAGCCCCAAAACUCAAAUGAUGAUGCAAGAAGGACACAAGAGAUUUAUACUGGUUUGGGCCAACACUGCUCUACGUCCAGUGCGGGGUUCGAAUCUUGUAUUAUCUUACACGCAAGAUGCUUGUAGUAGGGGUUACAAGCCGGCUACGAGAGAGGGAAGUAAUCCCAAGUCUCGGCCUUGUCGAUGGAUGAGAACUUGUGUGAGAGCUCAGGUGUGUUGUGUUCGAGAGUUGGUUGUUUGAUUGGUCGUGUCACUAUAUGGUGCACUGGCUCCCCUUUUAUAGCCUCAAGGGGAGGUAGGGUUUACAUGUGUGAACUUUGUUUUUACUCCUAGUACAUAGAGGAAGUGUGAUGUUGAAGCUGUGGUGACUGAUCAUCCUGCCCUCGGAGUGGUGGUAACGGCGUGGUCGUCUCUAUUGAUCGUGCAGAGUCGUCUUCUGCGCAGUAGAUCUUGACGUAAAUCCCUGUAGUCCCCUUGCCAAGUCUUGUUUAAGGGCGUGGCUAUCCCCUCUGAGGCCUCUUCCUCUGUCCUGCACCAAGGAGCAGUGAUACUUGGUUAUGGCAACAGGGCCAAGAUUUAACGUCUCCCAUCCUCCUUCUUGUCUGGUCGUACACAUAGUGGAAAGGGUAAGGUGUGACAGGGGUGGGAGUUGGUGACACAGGAAGUGCCAUCUCCUGCCGCGGCAUGGGUAAGGGCGUGGCUCACGUCCCAUCCACGGUGUGGUCGCCGUGCGUGGAAAGCCUGGGACAAGUGGUCCAUACUGAGGCCGGGGCUCAGGUGAGGCGUAGAAUCCGCUCGAGACCGGGGCUCAGGUGAGGCGUAGAACUCGCUUGUGGCCAGGGUUCGGGCGAGACAUAGAAUCCGCUCGAGACCGGGGCUCGGGCGAGGUGUAGAACUCGCUCGAGGCCAGGGUUCGGGCGAGAUGUGGGUUGUGCUCCACUCGGCUGGGCUUGUUUGUUGGGUCGAGGAAAAAUAGGUUCGGUUUAACCUGAUAAUGUCUUGUGAGGCCGUUUUUUUAGGUUUUGCCGUUUUUACCCCUUUGAUUAGGGUUUCCUGGUCUAUGGUACCCGAUAAGGCUAUAGCGGCAACAAUAGCGGGAGAUUUAAAACUAUGCCACACAGGCCAUGGUCGCCGCUGCCUAGGCCACUCGCCUUCCGCCUUGGAGGCGCUCGACGCAAGCACGCAGCCAGCAACCCUGCAUGGCAAGGUGGAGGCCGGCCGAAGCUACUUGGUGCCCGUCUCCCUGCAGGCUGAGCACGAACUCACGCUUGGUGCUAGCGUGCUAGGAGGGAGGUGAUGAUUUAUUGUUGACAUAGCACUAUGUAAAACGUGCUUAGUUUCGACUAUAAUAAGGCUAGUAUCAAUGCAUGUUUCAUGAGAGUGUCAUGCAUAUUAAAUAGAGUACUACAUAAGCAAAAUUGCUAACUUGGCAGAGUCAUUAAAUGAAGAAGAUAAGAGAGGAGUUUCAUCCCUAUAAAACUCAUGUGGCUCGGUUACUAGUUUAUAAUCUUAGUAAUUGUGCCAUAAAACUAUACAUCGAGACUGGACUAAGGCUAGUCUCAAUGUAUGUUUCAUGAGAGUGUCAUGGACAUUAAAUAGUUUAAUAGGGUGCCACAUAAACAAAACUGUUGACUUGGCAGGGUCAUUAAAUGAAGAAGUUUCAUCAGAUGAGAGAGAAGUUUCAUUCCCAUAAAACUCAUAUGGCUCGGUUACCUAGUUUAUAGUUUUGGCAACUGUGCCAUAAAACUAUACAUUGAGACUGACCUAACUAUACUACCCUCAGCAGCAGCAUCAUAAGGUGUGUUUGGUUGUAAUUCACAUGUGGACAGGGCUCACUUAAGCCAAAAAAUGGGUGAUUGGUUGGUUCAAGAAGACUCAUGGCCAACUUGGGCCAGCCGUACAUAGAUAGCCUGGUCAGCUUUGAAAGCUCAAAUCGGGCUUCCCAACUAAGCCAGACUCUGGCCAGCCGCCUGGCUAGGUUCUCGUCACCGCUCUCUACCUUCUCCGCCUCCUCCCGGUCCCCAACCCCACCUCCUUAGCAACUCCCAGCCACGCCGGCGGCGCCGUUCGUGAGGGAGGCCAGCGCGGAGGCGAGACGCGCGAGGCGGCGGCGCCGGGCCGCCACGGCCGGGUGGCGACACAUCAGGUAGCACCCCGCGGCGGCGCCCGCCUAGAGGAGUUAGCGGCGGUGGUGGCGGGUGAAGGCGAGCGCGCGGUGGCCGAAGAUGCGGAUGGGGAAUCUCUGGUUGAGGCUCUCGGCGACGGCGCGCAUGCGUGGGCGCAUCUCGGGGUCGAGCUCCGUGCACCCGAGUGCGACGUGGAAGACGACCAAGACCUUCUUCUUGGCGUGCACCUCGCCGAGCAACGUGGGGUCGACCACCUCCAACAGCGGCCGCUGCUCCUUAAAGGUGCGGCGCACCCAGGCCUCUAGGUCCAUGCUGCCUUCCCCUUCCGUGGGCUUCGUGCUCGCUCCGUGCUCACGCCCGCUCCGUGCGAUGUCCAUGCUCGUGCCUGCUCCGUGCACGCCGCCCCCAGGCCUCCAAGUCUAGGUCCAUGCUCGCGCUCGCCCAGGCUCCAUGCACCCAGGCCUCCAGGUCCAGGUCCAUGCUCACGCCUGCUCCGUGCGCCAGGCCACGUACGACACGGCGCCGCGAAGCGCACACGCCGCGCUGCCGAGCUUCUUGGAGUGGCCUCCCACGGCGGCCUUGUGCGCGUCGGCGACAAGGCGGGCGAGGCCGAAUCCGGACACGUGCGUGCGGAGCUCGUCGUCCAGCAAGAUCUUGGAGGACUUGAUGCAGCCGUGCACGUAUCGCCGCGGGCUGUACUCGUGCAAGUACGCUAGGCCGCGCGUCGCGCGCUGCGCGAUGGAUAGACACACGGACCACGACAAUGGCGUUUGUGGAGAUAUGGCGCUCAUUGUGUGCUCGACAAAUUGCCGUAAAAAAUGGUGAAGUUACCUAUGUAAAGGAGGUGACUCUACCCAGCUAAAUACCAACCAAACACAACUAGAUGCUAGCCAUAUUUAGGGCCUGUUUGGCAUGGCUCCAGAGCCGAACUCCAGCCCAGAGUCAAGUGGAGCUAGCCAAACACCCCAACUCUAGAAAAUGUUGGAGCAGUCCAACUCUAUGGAGUUUUUGGAGCUCUAGUACAAAUUUUUGGAGUACCUCUUCUCCUACUCCGAAACCGAACAAAACAGACCAAGACAUGGAGUUAGGGUGAAAUUACCCGCAAUUGCCACUGGUUACACAAGUGAAUCGUUAUUUUUCUAUUCUCCCUACCCCUUCCCCUUCCCCUUCACGCGAGCCGGUCGGGCAGCGCCGCCCUGUUCUCUCCGCCUCUCUCUCCCCCGCCCCUCCCUCUGCCUCUCUUCCUCGCCCCCCAUCCCCCACCGGCGGCCGGUGGCCUGAGCAGGCGGCGCGGUCGGCCAUGGCCUGCGACCUGCGCGGCGCCGGCAGGGGCGGGUGUGGCCUGCCCCGCGUGCGGCGGCGCGGCCUCGGCGUGGGUGUGGCUCGCGGCCUGCGCGGACCGGCAGGGGCCGUGCGUGCGGCGGCGCGGCCUACGCGGACCGGCAGGGGCAGGCGCGGCCUGCCCAGCUUCCGCCUGCGGCGGUGCGGCCUCGGCGUGGCUCGCGGCCCCGACGGCACGCGGCCAGGCGGCCGGCACGACCUCGGCGGCUCGCGCCGCGGUCGGCCAUGGCCUGCGGCCUGCGCGGCACUGGCAGGGCGAGCGCGGCCUACCCAGCUUCGUGUGCGGCGGCGCGGCCUCGGUGUGGCUCGUGGCCAGGUGGUGGGCGCGACCCCGACGGCACGCGGCAAGGCGGCCGGCACGGCCCCAGAGGCUCGCGUCGCGGUUCAGCCUAGCGUGGCGUUUACGGCGGCCCUGAUGUGUGGUUUCCGGCUCUGAUACAGUGACAAAAGCACAACUCUAGAGCUCAGAGUAUCAUUCUAGCCAAACACCUCUACCAAACAGCUCCAACUCCACUUAGAGCCAGCUCUAGCUGGAUUUCUGGAGUGGAACUGCUCUAUGUGGAGUUGGAGCUAUGCCAAACAGACCCUUAGAUAGUGUAGACAAUUAAACAACUCUAUAGCUUGCUAGAAUCAAGCUUAGAUUAGCCUUAACUUUUUUCAUAGCUAGGCUAGAAAUAAGGUAAGUAACCAAACACACCAAUAAUCGUGAACGACCCGUCCUUCUCCACUCGAGACCGGAGAAGAGUGGAUCUCACUGCUAGAUGGGCACGGAGUAUUUAUUAUUAACAAAUAUCGUCUGUCCGUCUGAUUCUGAUACAACGAUACUCCACACGACCACACCAACGAAGCUGCCAGGGCCCACAGGCUCAGAGGCUGGAGUGUGGUGUCUCCUGUCCCGUUCCCGCUCCCUGCUUCCCGAACAGGCGGGCUCGCAAAGUCCACGCCGCAGAGGAUCCGGCCAAGUUCUAGCGGGCUUCGUCCAAUGACACCCCCUCCCUCGUACAGGAGGAACAAUCCUAUGAACACACACGCAGGCAGCAGCAGUACCAAACGUCCAAUUCCAUCCACCCCCAGCACCAAAUCCAGGUCGCAAAUUUCCAACCAGAACCCGCGGCUAGUCAAAAGCACAAAAAGCCCACCACCACUCCGCAAAGAUCAAACCCUUAAGAAAUCCCGAGCACCAGGCACCAGCUACGCUGCUGCUAAUUAUUCCAUCCCAUCCGUCUCUCUCCAUCGAUCGCUCCAUAAAAUUUCUUUUCCUCAUCGCUUAGCAGCAGCAGGCCAGCAGGAAUCAGCUCGACGACCACAGCAGGCAGCAGCAGCAGCUACCGCACAACACAAAACACUCUUCCACUCUCCCAUCCGACGGAGGAGAGAAACACGAAACGAAACAAAAACAAAACAAAUACAAAGGCCUGAACCAUCAACCCAGGCGGAAAAGGGAAGGUGGGGAGAGAAAAAAAAAAGGGUUUUGGUUUUUAUUAUUAGCUGCACAACACACAAAUGGCAGCAGCGAUCCAAACCCAAUCCCCAGCGCCGCAGCGCGUGGGUAAUAAUCCCAGUUCGAGGAGCAGUAGUCGCUCCGCCCGUUGCUGUUCCUGGCCUGCGCUGCGGCUUCCCCCAAUCUCCUCCACAUCCCUAUCCAUCUUCCCCUCUUCUUCGUUCGUCGCCUUUGCUUUUGCCUUACCCACCCACCCAUCCAUCCAUCCAUCCAUCCAUCCGCGGCGGGGCGGUGUUCGUGGUGUUCAAGUUAUUGUUGUUGGUGUCAUUAUUCCUUUCCUCCUCCCAGUUCGUUUCGGGCAUAUCGGUGUUUUGGGUAUUCUUCGACACGGAGAUCCAGCCGCACAUCGAUUCGCCUUUUUUACUCUCUUCGCGACGCGGGGUGCUAUAAUAGCGACUGCGAGGCAUUUGGUGCGGGCAGACGCUACGAAGAGGUGGGGGUGAGAAAAAGUAAGUUGGGAAGUUUCUGCGCCUUUGCUUUGCAGAAGGAGGUGCUCGGAUCUAGGUUUCCAGGUUCUCGAUCGCCGCCAUGGACGCCGGCGGAGACGGGGACGGGGACGGCGCCGGGAAGGCGGCGCUGGAGGCCCCCGCCGAGGCCACGACCCCGCCUCCGGCGCCAGUGGCGGCCCCGGCCCCGGUCUCCGCUUCUACGGCUGCGGCGGGCGCGGGGACCUCGGGGUCGGGGGAGAAGCCGGUGAAGCGGAUGAUGAAGACCCCCUACCAGCUUGAGGUUUUAGAGAAGACCUAUGCGGGUUCGUGGAUUUCAAUGAAUUCAUUCGAGUGUUUUUUUCCCCUGAUUUUUUUGGGGCGUUUUUAUCGAUUGGGGGGUUUUGGUUUGCUGCAGCGGAGCAGUACCCGUCGGAAGCUAUGCGGCUGGAGCUGUCGGCCAAGAUAGGGCUGUCGGACAGGCAGCUCCAAAUGUGGUUCUGCCACCGCCGCCUCAAGGACCGCAAGCCACCGGCGAAGCGGCAACGGCGGGAGGAAGAGUCUGCACUAGCACCAGUGAUGCCUCCACCGCCAGUGUUGCCGGCACCUGUGUCUGUGAUGCCACUGGCAAGCAGUGACCAUAUGGUGGGUGCUCCUGGGCCGUACGAUGAGCCGUUACAUCCAGUUCACUCGCGAAGGGGUGCUGGGCGGUCCUCAGCAGUCCCCAGGAUCUCUAUGCCGGAUAUUGGGAGGAGGUAUUACGAGCCAACUCCAAUUAUGAUAGCGCCGGCUAUCCCGUCGAUGCAGCUCACACAAUCUGAGCUCCGCGUGAUUAAUUCUGUGGAGUCAGAGCUCGGGGAACCAUUGAGGGAGGAUGGUCCAGCGCUUGGCAUUGAAUUUGAUCCCCUUCCUCCUGGCGCCUUUGGUGCACCGAUUGGUAUGCAUAUUGAAAUCUGAAGUCAUUGUGUUUUAAGCCAAGGUUUUAAGCUAGUCUAUUGUAUGGCCCAAUUUAGUUUUAGGGCAGAGUGGAGCAGUGCAGCAGCUCCAUACAUUUGUGUCAUAUGGAGCGAGGGAGGUAUUAGAUUGGAGACAGCUGCGCUAGUGCCUCCCUCACUCCCAAGAGGAAGAAUCAUGCCCCGAAUGUCGUCUUGCACGUCCAGUUGCGACAUUGUAAUCUGGUCAGUGGACGGUGGCUGCCACUAACAUCUACUGCAAAGUGGCAAGUGGCAACUGAAAGUGUGACAUAUUGCCGGGCUUUUAUGUCUAGCUGGUCUACCUGGGCUUUUGGUGAGGCCCAAUUAGUAUUAGGGCAUGGGAGAGUGGUGUAAACUUUGCAUCAAGCACCUUAGAAAUAGUGGCCUGCGCCACCUCCUGUGCUAUAAUAUUUUCAUUGCACAUCAGAAGACAAGGAGGGAUCUGAAGGGAGGCAGCAAGGCGAGCGCUGCCUCAACUAGAUCCGUCUCCCAUAGUUCUUCGCCAUCCAUGUUGGUUCUUACCGGGAGCAAGGGAGGGUACUUACUGGGAUGUGAAAGGGCCGACAUCAUGGCAACGGUAGGGCUGCACUAGGGUUUGGCUCAGGCCCUUCUACUUUCUCUCCCCUGCGCUCUAGAUCCUAUUUCUUGUUCCAUAUGUCCUGCCAUCAGGUCUGGAAGCAAGCCGCUGAAUGAGCUAAGGCUAGUCAACGACUACUUACCACACCCAACUUGACAUGGAAGUUUAGUAUGUGGCAUCAAUGUUCUAGGACCAGGUUACUGGUAGAUAAAACAUUGCCAUAUAUCUCUAGAUCCAGUUUGCGGUAUUUGAGUUGAUUUUGUUUAGGGGGAAUGGGCCAUAUAUCUCUAGAUCCAAUAGACAUGAAUUGAGUUGAUUAUGUUUAGGGGGAAUUGGAAAAUAGUGUGGAUGAGGAUUUUGUUGCUUUUGUAUGGUCCCAUGUAUCCAUAAUCCAAUCAUACUAGAUCUGAUCUAUUGCCCAAAGUUUGAUUUGGAUGGCAUCACCUUGAGAAGGAUUGGCACCGGAGCACACCCCCUUAACGUUUUACAAACAAAAUAUUAGAUGGGCAUCUGCUAAAUGGCGUGCGUCUAAGUCUUGUAUAAGUUUCUUUAUUUGGUGAAUAAAAGUUCAUAUAUGGGGAUUAUAUUAAUAGCAUCUGUGCACUUACCAAUACAAGUUCUAAUUAUUGAAAAUCUUUUCCUGUGUAUUUUCUGGCAGUUCCAGAGCAACAAAAGCAGCCUGUGCGAUCUUAUAAUACGAAGAUGUUUUCUAGGCAUGAUCAAAAGCUCUUAAAGGUAUAUCUCUAGGAAACUUUAAAUGUAAGUUUAUCUCUCUUAUAUGUAUCUGUGGUGGAUUUGUGCCAUUGCAUAAACUGGGUUUUUGAUUUGAAUGUGCUUACCUUUUGAAGUUAAAUUGCAUCAGUGCUCAGUGGUGCUAAAAUGAUGGUGGUCUGGUGGUGUGAGGUCUAUUUAAUUUAUCUCCUAUUAAUAUGUGAUUUUGAGUAAUUAAGGUUGCUGUGCUGAUUCAUUAGCCCUAAACUUUGAUUGUGCCCUACUCAAAUGAGUGUGUGUGCAUCAUACCUCGUGGUGAUUGCUAAGUCAGUUCGGAAUAGGGCAUGUAUUUCUAUAUUUUAAAUGGUAAGAAUGCCUAGGAAGAUUCAAAAUCGUAAAUCAUGUUUUACCAGUUUUAUGAACAUGAGGCUACUAAGAAUUUGGUGACUUGGUUGCAACAAAUAUUGGCGUGCAUGAUUAUCAUGUAGUACUUGGUGGGCACCUUUUUCUCUGCAAUUCUGCAUUAGUUCUGCACAUCAAGCUAUGCAUGGUGGUUAUGUUUCCUAUGAUUGUAGUUGCAGAAGAGCUACUUAUCUUUACAAGUGUUAUCCCCUUAGCAUAUAUCUCGACUUUGGUCAGUAUUCAUGCUGCAAACUUUGUUCCCCUAAUGAUAUUUGCAUCAAUCUGUAUUCUUAGGUUUCUGGGUAACACUACUCUCUAUGCCAUACUUACCAUAUUAAGGGUUCCAUGAUCCUCUUUAGUUUCCUAAGUAUCACAUUUUUAAUCUCCUGUUCUUUCUUUUUCCCCCUAGGCUUCAGCAUUUUUACCUACCAUGGAGUCCCCAUCUGUUCCAAACUCAUUCACUGGGAAGAGAAAAUCAACGGUUGGUAAUUCACCUAUAGUCCAACCUCAUGUUGGAUCACGGGCUGUCCAUGAGUAUCAGUUCCUUCCUGAGCAACCAAGUGAUACAUAUGAGAGGGCAAGCCGAUCUCACUACUAUGAUACUCCAGUGGAAGUUUCGAAUUCUAGGAUAUCUUCUCUCACAUCAGGAUCACAGCUUCUCCAUGGAUCUGAGGUGGCUGCGCCUAGUUAUGCUUUUCAAGGCCACACAUCUGGUUCUAGCCUGAUGCCCCAGUCCAGCAGGUCUCAGGUGUUUCCAGCAGCACCAGCAGAUUAUGAGACGACCCAGUCUAAUAGCAACCUUAAUUCUGUUCCUGAUGAAGGCCAGUUUGAUAUUUCUCAGGUUGCUGCAUUUGAAAACCCACUUAUAUCAUAUGAAAGAAGAGCUUAUCAUGAUGAAGAUACUUCUCGAGUGGAAAGAAAACGAAAAGUAUGAUUUCUUUAAGUUCAUAUACGUAUCUUGCCCUUCAGCUUUAUAGUCGUAUACAUAUUAAAUUUGUCUGGGAUUUUCUUCAGCAUAAUGAAGAAGCAAAGAUUGCAAAGGAAGUUGAAGCUCACGAAAGACGAAUUAGAAAGGAGCUUGAGAAACAAGAUAUCUUGAAUAGAAAGGUAUUACCGGUUCUAUAUAAUUGUAGAUAUGUCUUCCUCGUUAAAUUCACUUACAAUGUGAUGUUUGUGCAGAGAGAGGAGCAAAGGCGCAAGGAAAUGGAGAGACUUGACCGCGAGAGAAGAAAAGAAGAGGAGAGAUUACUGCGGGAGAGACAGAGAGAAGAAGAGAGGUUCCAAAGAGAGCAAAGGCGUGAACAUGAGCGUAUGGAGAAGCUUUUGCAGAAGCAAUCUAGACGAGUUAGUUUUCUGGUUCUUAGAAUGCUAACUGUAAACGUAGUGUAUUAAAUAGCUUAUUCCUUCUGCCUACACCUGUGCAGGCAGAGAAACAAAGGCAAAAGGAGGAACUCCGAAAAGAGAAAGAAGCAGCAAGGCAAAAGGCGGCCAAUGAAAGGGCUACUGCACGCAGAAUUGCACGGGAGUAUAUGGAACUGGUGGAAGAUGAGCGUUUGGAACUAAUGGAAUUAGCUGCACAAAACAAAGGCUUGCCCUCAAUGUUGCAUCUUGACAGUGACACAUUGCAGCAGCUUGAUUCUUUUCGAGGUAUGUUACAUAUUCGUCUAGUUUAGUUCCAAACUCCUUAAUAUAAUAUAUACUCUUUAAGAAGUAACAUUUCACUUCUAUUGACUUCAUUGGGCAAAAUUCCAGUUUCCUGUGUAUCCACUAACAGAGGGUAACUAAGACAUGGAAAUAGACGUAGACUAACAAUUCAUUGUAUCUAUAGUCUUUUAUGUUACAAGCCUGUUGAAUUUCUAGGUAAGAAUCUGAGCAUUGAAGAAUGCUUUAUUCCUACUGCUUUAGGUCACCACAUGUGCAUUCAAAAUAGAGCACUUUUUAACAGGAGGAUUUUUGGGCUUGUUUGGAUCUCAAGUUAUGCCUUGGAUGGUUUUCAGGAUAAUGAUAAGAUUUUUUUUUCUAAAAAGUAAGAAAAAAGUUAGCAGGAUUUCGGAGUUUCAGAAAAUCACUCCAGUACUUUUUUAAUCAAGAGAAUUCAAAGUAUAAUACAAAAAAUGCACUUUUGCCCUAAUAUUUCGCUUCACAUUAUUCUGACUGUUCACAAAUUAAAUUUCCCUUUCCCACAAGUCACUUGAAACUUUCUUUUGGUAAAAUGCCUCUGAUGGUUUUUGCCACAUAGUUGUUUAUUUUAGCAAUAGUUUUUUUUCCCUCGUGAACACACUGGAGUUUUCAUAUUAUAAUAUUAAGAAGAAAAAGCUCAAGACACCCUUACAAAUACACCUACUCACACCAACGUUUCUAAGACUACAGGCCGCCUUGGUUACAGAACAAAACCAACAUCAACCUAGGAACAAAGACUCACUUGGAUGCUAGGGUAGCCAGGUAGGAUAUACCUCUGGCCUGGCUAAACUGCAAAACCUCAUUUUCUCAUUGUCUAGCAACAAAGCUUCAGGCAGAUGGCAGGGCUCCAUAAAAACACGAUGAUUUCGAUGGUUCCAAAGUGUUCAAACCCCUAAGAUGAUAAUGUAAUUCAAACCUUGACAUGCUUAUCCAUUGGCCUCCUCAAAUCUCAUUAAUUCUAGCCCACCGGCCCACAGAGGACGUCACUCCAAGCUGCUGGGAGAGGUUUUGCAUGCCAAUUUUCUGCAAUUGAAAAAUGCACUCGCUCAUUUGACAUGUACUGUUAUUUAAGGCAUUAUCAUCAAUGGAACAGACAUGUGACAAUAUGAUAGCUUGUUCGGUUUUAGGUUUUACUUCUGACAUUGGAAGCCUAACUGCAUAUUUGAACUUACAUGUUUUUCAUUUUUUUAUUCUCCUUUUCCAGGCAUGCUAAGACAAUUUCCUCCUGCAACGGUGAGACUGAAGUUGCCAUUUUCUAUAAAGCCUUGGACUGGAUCUGAGGAUAAUGUUGGAAAGCUUUUGAUGGUAAUGCUGUAUUCAUCUUACAGUCUUGCUCUUUUCUUUUUAUUAUUUGGACAUUUCUUAAGAGAUGUUGAGACCCUAAACAUAUCUUGGUUAGUAUUGUUAGCAAAGAUUUUAGGUUGCCUUGAUUCAUAAAUGGCCACACUAUAUUUAUGGGGACAUUAUUCCUAAGAAACAUUAACUGUGAAGGUCGCUGUCAUCUCCUUUGUUCAAAGGCUAGUAACGCAGGUGUGUGUUGGGUUUUUGUAUGGGGAGACCUCUUGACACCUCCCCUGUUUUCCUGUACAUUUUGUACGGUGCCUUUCUCAUUCUUAAUGAAAUGGCACACUGUUCCCCUGUGUCGUUCGAGAAUAAAGAAGUUCCUAAGAAACAUUAAAUUACAACUGAACUGUUCUGUUUGUUUUAUUUAUAAAGAUGCUUUGCUCAUGUCUGUUUAUCUUCCCUUAUGCUUCUCUCUAGUACACAUGUAUAAAUGUUUUAAUACAUUGCAAUCAAUUCUAUGUUUGUCUAUGUACCAUAGUAUAUGGUGUUUGCAUAACUUCAUCUCAAGAGACAUUUUUGCUAACUGAAUUGCAGGUGUGGAAAUUCUUCAUUACUUUUACUGAUGUUCUGGGUCUUUGUCCAGUUACACUCGAUGAGUUUGUUCAGUCUCUUCAUGAUUAUGUAAGUUCCUUUUUCCUCUGGACUUCUGUAUGUUUUUAUUUCUUUUUCUUUUGCUGGUAGAGUAAUGGUAAGGGAGGAAAAUUGAAUAAAUAGAUAUGUAUGGUUAUGUUCUUCACACUUUCUGAGUGGUAAGAUCAGGCACAAAGAAAGACACGUGGAUGAUUGAUCAAAGAUUCAAAGGUUAUCUCUCGCUUGGGGCAACAAAUGAAUUAAUAUUAAAUUGGACAGGAGUGGAUACACAGCUCUCCUGUGUGUUCGAGAAAAUUGAACAGGAGUGACCUGUGACCACAGUCCUUAUGUUUGUCUUAGUUCCUACUAGUGGUCCUAUAACAUUUCUUAUGUCAGAUUUGAUAUUCCUUGUUUUUGUGUUCUACGAGCGCAUUUAUCUGUACUGCCAUUAAAGUUUUAAUUCAUAAUAUAUCAAUUUAAAAAUUUAACUUUGUAUAUAUUAUUGAAUAUCAUAAAUGAAACUUGGAUGAAGGGCGGGCCUGGUGCAAGCGAUAGAGUCUUGCCGCCUGUGACCGGAAGGUCCCGGGUUUGAGUCGCGGUCUCCUCGCAUUGCACAGGUGAGGGUAAGGCUUGCCACUGACACCCUUCCCCAGACCCCGCACAGAGCGGGAGCUCUCUGCACUGGGUACGCCCCCCUUAUAAAUGAAACUUGGAUCUCAGUGGUCAUGCAAAGCUGAAACAAUUCCAAGUUCAUUCAUGAAUUUGGUUGACUCAGAAUAUGCAACGGAAAGCUUUUUCUUAGUAUUUCUUUUUGUUUGAUCUCAUUAGGGUUCUUUGCUCCAUUUAACUAGGUGCUACAUAACUAAAACCAUGGUACACUGGUAUUCUGCCAGUGUGUUUAUUAUCUUAUCUAUCACCUUUUUUAUACUGGGAGAUGUCUGCUGAUUUGGGUAUUAGCUGGUGUCCAUACAGAGCUGUUUAUUAUAUCCAUGACUUCACAUGUCCACGCAAUACAGUACUGUUAUAUAUAUUCUUUUAUAAAACUUUUGUAGCCUUGGUCACUAGGCUUGGAAGCUAGCAUCUUCUGAAGCAAUAUACUGAUAAUCUACAAUAUUUUUUCUUAUAUUUGUCUUAUCCUAAAUUGUUAUCUUUUUAUAGGAUUCAAGGUUGUUGGGGGAACUGCAUGUUGCUCUACUGAAAUCCAUUAUAAAGGAUAUUGAGGAUGUUGCUAGAACUCAAUCAAUUGCACUGGGGGUAAAUCCAGGUGGCCAUCCACAAAUUGUUGAAGGGGUGGGUAUAUAAUUGUACAUGCAUAUUUGAUGUUAAUUUCAAAUAUUACAUUCAUUUUCUUUUCAUCCUGUCCAUUUCUGUUUUUUCUUAAUAUAUUCUUGAACAAUUAUGUUUCCUUCUGGCAGGCAUAUGCCUGGGGAUUCAAUAUACGUAGCUGGCAACGCCAUCUUAAUCUUCUUACAUGGCCUGAGAUAUUAAGACAGUUUGCUUUAUCUGCUGGUUUCGGACCCCAGUUAAAGAAAAGGACGGUAGAAGAUUCUUACUAUCGUAACGAUAAUGAGGUCUGUGCUCCUAUACAUCCCACCUGCCUUUAAGAUGAUUUCAGUUAAAAGUCACUUGAAUCAGUUAAGAUAUUUGAAUUCUAUUAUAAGUUUCUCCUUAACUGAUACAGUACCUUGUAAACAAAUGGUCAAGUGAUACUUAUGAAAUUCAAAAUAACCUCCUGAAUGAUGCCAGCAACUUACCAUUAAUACUUAGGCUGUGUCUUAUUUUGUUUGAGGUCCUUCCACAUUUUAACCUACAUCAUGUUGAAGAAAUGAUGAGUAUUAAUCACAAAUAUAGAUUGAUUUUAAAGAUAACCAGUUUGCUUGUUUCUAGUGAUUAGGCUGAAGGUCAAAAGUCAACUGAAAAAGUACUGAAAUAAUGAGAAUUCUCAUGAAAAAUUAAACAUAUAUCUGAGCCAUGUGAAAUAUUAGUUCUCAGAAGCGAUCUCUAGUGAGUUUACACCAAAUUCUCAGUUUUCUGCAUGACAAGAAAAAAACAUAUAAAAGUAUUUUCACAAGGUCGGCGCAAAAUUUGUUGCAGGGUCAUGAUGGUGAGAAUGUUAUAUCGACACUUCGAAAUGGUUCAGCAGCUGUGAAUGCUGCUGCUAAGAUGAAGGAAAGAGGUUACACCAAUCGACGUAGAUCCCGCCACCGUCUCACUCCUGGAACUGUAAAAUUUGCCGCUUUCCAUGUGCUUUCUCUUGAAGGGAGUAAAGGUCUCACAAUAUUGGAAGUAGCAGAAAAAAUUCAGGUACAUACACAUAUAUGUAUCUUUAAUUCCUUUCCCUCUUAAGUGGCUAUCUUUGAUUUUGUAAGCUGACUAUUUUCCUGUUCAGAAAUCUGGAUUGAGAGACCUCACAACAAGCAAGACACCUGAGGCAUCCAUAGCUGCUGCCUUGUCUAGGGACACAAAACUUUUUGAGAGAACUGCUCCUUCGACAUAUUGCGUGAAGUCGCCUUAUAGAAAAGAUCCAGCUGAUUCUGAGGCCGUGUUGUCAGCAGCACGUGAAAAAAUUAGGGCUUUUCAGAAUGUGCUUUCUGACUCUGAAGCUGAAAAGGAGGCAGAUGAAGCUGAGAGGGAUGAUGAUUCUGAAUGUGAUGAUGCUGACGAUGACCCUGAUGGUGAUGAUGUGAAUACUGAGGUGGAAGAUGACAAGGAUCCUCCUCUUGCUGUCAAGGCACAAGAUGAAGUACCGAGUACAACUACAGUUAUUGGCAUAAGGUCCGAAUUAGAUAGUGUGGGUAAUGCAUUGAACUCAUCAAGUAGUUUUACUAAGUCAGCAAAAGGCACUCCUCUCCCUUCUUUAGGCAAGUCCGAUGCAGCAGAUACUUCUAAUGAUUCACCUCUUGGAGGCUCAUCAGCUAAUCAUGAAGUAGCCCCUGGUGAUUCUGAAAAUACGCAAAUUGAUGAAAGCAAUCAAGUUGAGCCUUGGGUACGUGCACUAGCAGAAGGUGACUACUAUGAUCUUAGUGUUGAAGAACGCCUUAACGCAUUGGUUGCCCUCGUUGGUGUUGCUACUGAAGGGAACUCUAUUCGUGGUGUACUUGAGGUAUUUAUUAUGAUCCUGCUAAACUACUCUUCUAUCUUGUCAUUCCUCAUUGGGAGACAUCUGAUCAAGAGUCUUGCAGGAACGUUUGGAGUUAGCAAAUGCCUUAAAGAAGCAAAUGUGGGCAGAAGCGCAACUUGACAAGAGGCGUUCCAAGGAAGAAUUUGCUAGCAGAGUACAAUAUAACUCUGACAUGGGUUUGAAGGCUGAUAUAUAUCAAGAAAACAAUGCUACAGAGAUUUCUUCAACUCCAGCCUGUGAUGUUUAUAAAGAGAAUGAUGGACAUGUUGGGACAAUCAACAGUUGUGAGAUGGAUGAUCAGCAUAAUCAGGGUAAUUUUGGCAGUAUGGCUUAUGAGAGAAAUGGCAUAGGCCAGGAAAUCCUUGCAACCCCAGAUACUUCGUAUGUUCAGCAGUAUGCUUAUGCUGAUAAAACACGAUCUCAGUUGAAAUCGUACAUUGGUCACCGGGCAGAACAGCUCUAUGUUUACAGAUCCCUGCCCCUAGGUCAGGAUCGGAGGCGAAACAGGUAUUGGCAGUUUACAACUUCAGCAUCACCAAAUGACCUUGGCUCAGGAAGAAUCUUUUUUGAAUCCAAAGAUGGAUGUUGGAGAGUUAUUGACUCAGAGGAGGUAAAGUGUUAAUUUAUACUUAUUAGAUUCUAUAUUUCUACUUAUUCAUUUUACUAUUGUACUAAAAAGCUCAAGGCAGAUUUCAAAUUGUGUUAUUUGCUGGAUAAUAUGUUUGCUAGCAUCAGGCUACCAGUCCUUUAUUCCUUCUUAAUACAAUGAUAAUGAUGCAAAUAUGUUUAAAGUAAUAUUUGGAUUAUUUUCAACUAUUUUAGAUUUUAGAAAAAGGUUUGAAUCUAGAAAUGUACUGCCUGUCAGCAUUGUCUAUGGCUCCAUGCUCACUCUGGUUCCAAAUCCUGGGCGGUAACCGUGCAGUCACUGUUGGUCACUCAUAAUCCCCAUUAAUACCUGGAUUUAUAGAAGUUAUAGUAACACCAUGUUUUGAUGACUCUGCAUGUUGUUUCGGAUUCAUAAUAUCCAAAGUUGGGGAAUAAGCAUUACAGUAGAACAGAGUCCACUGGGAAACAGGUGGUUACCGCCCAGUUACCAGCAUAACAGGGUGUUGGAGUAUGUGUGUAACAGGCCCAUGUGGCUAGGCCCAUGAGGCCCAUGUAUCCCUAAUUAUAUGGCACCCUGGUUAGGGUUAGCCCAACUAAUGAGAAACCCUAAUUCUAACAUGGUAUCAGCCUAGGUUUUCCUCCCAGCCGCCUGCAGGCAACCAGCCGCCGCCGCCGGCCGGCCGCCGCCGCCAUGGCAGGCCGGGCACCUCCUCCUCUUCCCUACCUCCAGCAGUUUCCGGCGCUCCCCUACCCGUCCUGGGCCCGAGCCGCCGCGGGUGGCCAGCCUCGCCCUCCCCUGCAGCAGCCAGCGGGCGCGGACGUCGCGGCGCGCGGGGAGGCCGCGAUGCACGCGGACGCGCAGCCAGCGGACGCGGCCCGCCCUUCCCUCCUCCUGGCGGCCGUCGCGGGCGCCGAACCAGACGCCGCCGCCGCCGCCGCGGGUGGCCAACCCCGCCCUCCCCUGCAGCAGCCAGCGGGCGCGGACGCCGCGGCGCGCGGGGAGGCCGCGAUGGCGGCUGCGCGCGCGGCAGCAGCGCGCGGGGCGCACCAGGACCGCGCCCCUGUGGACGGAACGCGUGCAGACGCCGCCGAGGACGCCGCGGCCGCCUCUAAGCUCCAGCUGGGCACCAACGACGACGCCGCCGCAGCAGCCUACGCCCGGGGAGCGGCUGCCGCCAUUGCUGCAGGCCUUGGCAUGCCCUUGGACAUGACCGAUCUGCCCAGGACGCUGCUCACAGCCGGAGGCGCCCUGUCCAGGGGGCUUGCUGCCGGCCCGCGUGCAGCUGUGGGCGCAGCCCCCUUCCCUGCACCGCCUCCGCCGCCUGUGAUGCAUCGUCCGGACUCCACACUCAUCGCUGCUCUCGUCACUGCUCGGGCUGCGGCUGCGGAGGGCCGGGCCCGCGUGCGUGAGGCCGCUCUCGCUUGGGAACGCGAGCGCGACGCGGCCGACGCCUUGGCCCGCCAGAUCGCCGACGCCGAGCAGUUCCUCGGCCUUCCAGCCUCGCCUGACGUCGGGACCACGUCCUCGGGAUCGACUUCGGUCGUCUGGCACGAUCCGGCCGACCCCCACGUAGUGCAGCUCCACUACCUGGCAGGGGGCGUCCAAAACAUCCGCCUCCUCGUCCCGGUCGUCCUCGAGCCCGAGUCGCCCUCCUACGCUCGCUGGAGGGACUUGGUCCUCCUCACCCUCCGCCGCUACGCCCUCGAUGACCACGUCCUCCUCGACACCGCGGGGGCGGUCCCGACCCCCUCGUGGCUUCGCCUCGACAGCGUCGUCCUGUCCUGGAUUCUGGGGACGAUCUCCCUGGACCUCCACGACCUCGUCCGCAACACCCCGAGCGCUCGCGGGGCCUGGCUAGCACUCGAGGGCCAGUUCCUGGGCAACGCCGAAGCCCGGGCUCUGCGGCUCGACGCGAGCUUCCGCACCUUCGUCCAGGGCGACCUCUCCGUCAGCGAGUACUGCCGCCAGAUGAAGGGUAUGGCGGACUCCCUCGGCGACCUCGGCUGGCCCGUGGAGGACCGCAUCUUGGUCCUCAACGUUCUCCGCGGGCUCAGUGACCGCUACUCCUACCUCCGGACGUGGAUCACCAGGCAGCGGCCCUUCCCCACCUUCCUGCAGGUCCGUGACGACCUUGUCAUGGAGGAGCUUACUCAGGGCCUACAGCCUGGGUCCACCUCCGCUUCGGGGUCCUCGUCGUCCUCCUCGACUGCUCUCGCUGCCACUCCUCCACCUCGUCCCGCCGCCCCACCACAGUCGUCACUUCUGGGUCCUCUUCCCCCCGGGCCGAGCGGGGGUGGGGGGGGGGCCGUGGCGGUCGCCGUCGUCGUGGUGGGGGACGUGGAGCAGGUCGUGGGGGCAACACGACGCCGCUGCCACCUCCACGAGGUGCACCCUGGCCAUCCUACCACCACCCAUGGUCAGGGCGCAUCUCCAUGUGGCCGUUCCAGGCUUCCGGUGGCGAGCCUCGCCCGCCGGCAGCCAUGCUCGCGGGUGCUCCCCCGGGGUUCCCCUCAGUGACCCCGUGGGCGGCCCCGUUCCCCGCGUCCUCGUGGGCUACUCCACCGACGCCCUUGCCCGGGUCCGCCGGCUGGGACCAGGCGGCCUUGGCGCACUCCUUCAGCACCAUGGCCCUGACACCUCCUGUCGGGCCGGAGUGGGUCGCCGACUCUGGGGCUACUUACCACACCACUCCUAACCCCGGUAUACUUUCUUCUGUUCGCCCUCCUUCUCCAUCUCUCCCUUCGUCCAUUAUGGUCGCUAAUGGGUCUUGUCUUCCUGUCACCUCUGUGGGUGCUGCCGGCCCCCAUGGUUCCUUUCGUCUUCCUGAUGUUCUUGUUGCUCCUUCUAUGGUUCACAAUCUUCUUUCUAUUCGUCGUUUUACAGCUGACAACUCUUGUUCUGUGGAGUUUGACUCUUCUGGUCUUACUGUGAAGGAUUUGGCUUCCCGGCGUCCUCUGCUCCGAUGUGACAGCACGGGGCCCCUUUACACUCUUCGCUUUCCGGCUUCUGCCUCGCCUCCUUCGCCGGUUUUGUCAGCUGCCUUCACCACCACUACCUCCACUACUUGGCACCGGCGUCUCGGCCAUCCUGGACGUGAUGCUUUGAUGCAGCUUAGUCGUAGUUCCGAUAUUCGAUGUACUCGGGCUCACGAUGAGCAUUUGUGUCAUGCGUGCCAACUGGGCCGUCAUGUUCGUCUUCCUUUUUCUAGUUCUUCUCAUGCGGUCCGCAUUUUUGAUCUUGUACAUUGUGACUUAUGGACCUCUCCUGUCAUCAGUAUUUCUGGAUACAAGUACUAUCUUGUGGUGGUGGAUGAUUAUUCUCAUUAUUCCUGGACUUUUCCUUUACGUGCAAAGUCUGAUGCUUUCCCCGCGCUUGUCCACUUUUUCGCUUGGGUGUCCACACAGUUCGGCCUCACUAUCAAGGCUGUCCAGUGUGACAAUGGUCGGGAGUUCGACAACUCCACCUCCCGCGCCUUCUUUCUCUCACACGGUGUCCAGCUGCGCAUGUCUUGCCCGUAUACCUCCUCUCAAAACGGCAAGGCUGAGCGCAUGAUUCGCACCACCAACGACACCGUGCGCACUCUCCUGCUCCAGGCCUCUCUUCCUGCUCGCUUCUGGGCCGAGAGCUUGCACACCUCCACUUACCUCCUUAACCGCCUUCCUUCCGCUGCUUGUCCAGCUCCCACACCCCACCACGCUCUCUUUGGUACCCCUCCUCGCUAUGAUCACCUUCGAGUCUUUGGGUGUGCGUGUUACCCCAACACCACCGCCACCGCUCCUCACAAGCUGGCACCCCGUUCGACUCUCUGUGUCUUCCUUGGGUACUCCCCGGAUCACAAGGGGUAUCGAUGCUACGACCUUACCUCUCGUCGAGUCCUCAUAUCUCGCCAUGUGGUGUUCGACGAGUCGAUCUUCCCCUUUUCCACCACUACCACUCCUGCUUCCACCUCGGAGCAUGACCUCUCCUCUGUGUUUCCUACUGACCCGGUGGUCGAGCCACCUUUUCCGGUGUUUCCUGCAGGUACUGCUACGUCGCCUGUCGUCCGUGACACCUCGGGGCCUCUACCCUGCCCGGGUCCCGAGGUGUCACCUUCCGGCCCGGCCCCUGCGCCUGACGCGGGUCCCGGGUCGGCACCUUCGACACCGGCCCCACCGGUACGCUUCGCCCAGCCGGUGCGUGUCUACCAGCGACGUGCUCCCGACGUGGGGUCGGUACCUUCGACACCAGCCCCACCGGCACGUUUCGCCCAGCCGGUGCGCGUCUACCAGCGACGUGCCCGGCUGGCGCCGCUGCCUCCGGCGGCGCCGGUGGCCCCCUCUUUGCCGGGGUCACCUGCGCCAUCGGCGACGUCUUCCCCGCCGGCGACACUGACCCCGCCGCCGCGGCACCCCGCUACUCGGGCCGUGACGCCGGUGUACCACCCACCGCUCCUUCACCGACACCCGCGUCAUGUUCACCCGAUGGUGACGCGACACGCGGCUGGGACCCUGCAGCCCCGGGCUCUUGCGGCGAUGCCUGGGGACUCGCAGGUCUCACCGGUACCCUCUUCCGUCCGCGAGGCCUUGCUGGACCCUCACUGGCGCCGCGCGAUGGAAGAGGAGUACGCGGCACUCCUCGCCAACCAGACAUGGGAUCUGGUGCCACGACCGCCGGCCUCCAACAUCGUCACCGGCAAGUGGAUCUGGACCCACAAGCGUCGGGCUGACGGCACCCUUGAGCGGUACAAGGCUCGCUGGGUUCUCCGGGGCUUCACUCAGCGGCCCGGUGUCGACUACGACGAGACCUUCAGCCCGGUGGUGAAGCCGGCCACCGUCCGCACGGUGCUCUCGCUGGCUCUCACGCGCGGGUGGCCCGUGCAUCAGCUGGACGUCAAGAAUGCUUUCCUGCAUGGCGUUCUUACUGAGACAGUCUACUGCAGUCAGCCGGCGGGGUUUGUUGACUCUUCUUGUCCAGACAUGGUGUGUCGGCUCAAGAAGUCUCUCUACGGCCUCAAGCAGGCCCCCCGGGCGUGGAACCAUCGAUUUGCUGCUUUUCUGCUGACUCUGGGGUUUGUGGAGGCCAAGUCAGACACCUCUUUGUUCAUCUAUCACUAUGGGGCUGAGACUGCAUAUCUGUUGCUCUAUGUUGAUGACAUUGUCCUUACAGCCUCCAGUGAAUCCCUCCUUCGACGGAUCAUCGCAUCACUGCAGCAGGAGUUCGCUAUGAAGGAUCUGGGUCAGCUCCACCACUUCCUCGGGGUCACUGUUGAGCCUCACCCUGCUGGAUUACUCCUUCACCAGCGGCAGUACACUCUUGACAUCCUGGAGAGAGCUGGGAUGACUGACUGCAAGCCCUGCUCCACUCCGGUUGACACACAGGGCAAGCUAUCGGAGGCUGAGGGUACCCCAGUGACAGAUCCCACUGCAUAUCGGAGUCUUGCCGGGGCACUUCAGUACCUCACCUUCACCCGGCCGGAUAUCACCUAUGCAGUUCAGCAGAUCUGUCUUCAUAUGCAUGAUCCCCGGGAGCCACACCUCACCGCUCUCAAGCGGAUCCUUCGCUACCUCCGCGGCUCCGUCGACUUCGGUCUCCUCCUCCACCGACGGUCGUCCUCCACCGAGCUCGUCGUCUACACUGACGCCGACUGGGCCGGGUGUCCGGACACCCGCCGCUCCACCUCCGGCUACGCCGUCUUCCUAGGCGGCAACCUGGUGUCUUGGUCGUCCAAGCGCCAGCCGGUCGUCUCCCGCUCCAGUGCCGAGGCGGAGUACCGCGCUGUCGCCAACGGCGUGGCUGAGGCUUCCUGGCUCCGGCAGCUCCUCGCCGAGCUCCACAGCCCUCUCUCCCAGAGCGCACUGGUCUACUGCGACAACGUCAGUGCGGUGUACCUCUCCACCAACCCUGUGCAGCACCAGAGGACCAAGCAUGUGGAGAUCGAUCUACACUUCGUUCGGGACCGGGUCGCUGUCGGCGAUGUUCGGGUCCUCCAUGUCCCGACCACCUCCCAGUUCGCCGACAUCUUCACCAAGGGCCUCCCGUCCUCGACCUUCGCCGAGUUCCGCUCCAGCCUCAACAUCACCAGUGGCUAGUUGUGUCUGUGGGGGGUCUCAUGUGUGUGAUUCUUUUCGAGUCCAGUCUGCAACUCCGCUGCGCCGGUAGUUCAGACUGCGGGGGGGUGUUGGAGUAUGUGUGUAACAGGCCCAUGUGGCUAGGCCCAUGAGGCCCAUGUAUCCCUAAUUAUAUGGCACCCUGGUUAGGGUUAGCCCAACUAAUGAGAAACCCUAAUUCUAACACAGGGGGCUCCGAAUCUUCCUGAUAUCAAGGAAAUGAAAAUUUAUCAGAAAGCUUAUAUACCAUAGCUCUUUCGUCUGAGGAUGAAACUUCCUUUUUAUCUGUACUUUAUAUGCAGUUAUUGACAUUUCAGUGUCUAAGAUAUCCAUUGUUAUUAGCAUAUCAAGGAAAUGAAACUUCAUCAGAAAGCUUAUAUUCCAUAGCUCUUUCUUGAAGUAUACAUCUUAUAAUGGUUUUCGUCCGAGGAUGAAACUUCCUUUUUAUCUGUACUUUAUAUGCAGUUAUUGACAUUUCAGUGUCUAAAAUGUACAUUGUUAUUAGCAUUAUUUUCAUUUUUUGCCAGUUUUUUUUUCGAACCGAGGGAACUUCCCCAUUUCCAUUGAAUGAACAACGGAAAUACCGUUCAUACAAAGAGUUUGAAGAACAGAUAGAGAAAACUAGACAGUAGCAUGGCUCUAUAGAAGGAGACUACAGAGACUACAGAAACACGAAGCGUGCGACAACUACAGCUCGCCAACACAUCAUAUUGAAAGCACCAGCAAACAAGCCAAGGUUGAUUACACAAAAGCUUAAGCAAGCGACAAACAGCCUUCCUCAGGAUAGUUUCUUGCAAAAACCAAACAUCAUUCUUUCUCCAACAUCAUCUUGAUUACUUCUGUCCAUCCGGCUUAUCAUCUUGGUCAGUUGACUUGUUGUUCUCCAGAGAGCGAUGCUUUUGAGCUUUCACCUCUUUACUCACCAGCUGCAUGGCAAUUUCCAGCAUUGUAUUUGCUCCAGCGAUCAGCUGGUCCUUGUCUUCAUCCAGAAACAAACCUGCCCAGUACUCCAUAAGCGAACAAGCAUAACAUAUAACAUGAAUUGGACUUGUAACAGCCUUGCCCUCAAAACAAGCACUGUUUCUAGUCUUCCAGAUUGCCCAACAAAUAGCAGCAAUGCCUAUAGCAUGAAAUUUGUUUCCAUAAGGUAGCCAUUGCUCACACCAAGCCCAACAUUGAUUAAAAUUUCUAGGUACAUUAGAUGCACCUAAACAAUGCGCCACAAUAGCCCAUACUGCUUUGGCCAAACUGCAUUGAAAUAAAAGAUGUGAUACAGAUUCAUUGCACUCACAGAACAAGCAGGAAGGAUCACCAGUCUACUUCCUUUUAGUCAUAUUAUCCCUAGUAAGUAAAGCAUUAUUUGCCACAAGCCAUAGAAAAAUUUUGAUUUUAGCAGGUAUCUUCCCUUUCCAAAUUUUCUUAUAAUAGAUGCCUGCAUCAUUUUUUGCCAGCUAAAGGGUGGGACAAUUGCUUUUUUGCCAUCCUAACCAGUGGCAUGUUCAAAAGGCACUAUUCCUAAAAACUUCGCCAAAUUACCAUCUGGGGACCACAAGAAUUUGCAAAUUUGCCCAAAACUCGCUCUAGUUGUGCCAUGUGGACAUGGUCAUGGGACCCACAGCAAACCUGGCUGAUACAUACGAAAUAACCUUUUUGCUCCCUUCUUCCUCCUUUUAUGCAAUCAAGCAGCAACCCCAGGGCCACAUCCUGCUGCUCCUCUUCUAAAUCCCAGCCCCCAUCUUCCUCUUAUUCUUUCCUCUCCAUUUUCUUCCUUCCCCAAAUUCCAGGGCCAGCACCAGCACACAACUGAUGGGACCAACUAAGCGACUAAUUGCAGUUAGUCGUCGGCCAGACUGAUUAGCUGAGUCUAGUCUGUUCUAGUCGUCCUAUAUAUUUCAGGACAUAUACAUACUAUUGUUGGAAUAUAAGUGAAUUGGCCACCUCUCCCCAUCGGCUUAAGCUUUUGGGUUGAACUGGUCGGUGCAUGCAACUCAAUAUGGUACCAAAGCCAGAGGUCCUGAGUUCAAAUCCUAGUUAGCGCAAUUAAAUAAAAUAAUUGUUGCUUGCUCCUAUUCCACGUCUGAGGCCUGAGGGAACCUCCACGUGAGGGGGAGUGUUGGAAUAUAAGUGAAUUGCCCACCUCUCCCCAUCAGCUUAAGCUUUUGGGUUGAACUGGUCGGUGCAUGCAACUCAAUAACUAUAUAUACCUAUAUAUACUGUAUACUAUACACAAUAAAGCAAGCAUCAGGAUUACAUUAGGGGGUAGUUGGUGGCUUGUGACUUUGUGAGAGUUGAUUUCUGCACUGUUCCACAUCUGCACAUAUACACAACAGCAGUACAUCACCUUAAGAUGGAGUACCUUCAAGCAGGCAGAGGGGCAGCAGCUCAGCAAGCAAGGGGGGAGAGGAGCUAGCGCCGUGGAGUGAGGGAUAGAGGAGGGAAAGGGCACACUCACCACACCACGGGAGUGGCACGCGAUGAAGAAUGGCGUGCGGGGGAGGAAGAAUAGUGUGUGGGGGGAGGAAUUGCGCGUGGGAGGAUUUGCGGUGGCGUGGGAAAAGGAAACCAAUGCUGCCUCUUCUCUGUGUUUUUGGUGGAGUUUGGGCGCACUUAUGCUAAACUAGCUGGCAAUUUGGCAGCCCAAUAGGCCACCUCUAAGCACAGUUGAGCUGCUGGCCUGUGAAUAGGACAGGCAGCCACAGAUCCCCCUCCUAGUCGGACAACAAUUGUGAUUAGGCGACAGUUAGUCGGGCGACUAGGUUUUUAUUGGGUUUUUGGUAAAUCACUGAGUUCCUGUCAUCCCUGGAUGGCAGUUCGGUGAAGUUUUUGGGAAAGUUGCCACUGGUUAGGAUCGCGAAAAAAGCAAUUGUCCCCUAGAUGUUGCUUUAAGAGCCUGAUGCUCAUAUUGCAUAAGAGCAAUGAUGCUAAACUGAUAUUGUAUAGUUUGUUGUAUAUGCUCAUUAAGUAGAAACCUGCUCUACUUUAGUUUGAAUGUUCAUUAGUCAUUACAUUAUUAGCUGGAUUUUAGACAAGCAUUAUGCAUAAACCACCUCUAAUUUUUCAACAUUCUGUCUAUUUUAAAUGCAGGCCUUUGAUUCUUUAGUGGCCGCCCUCGAUACACGUGGCAGCCGGGAGGCACAGCUGCAUUCAAUGCUGCAAGUGAUUGAGCCCACCUUUAAGGAAGCUAUUAAGAGGAGAAGUGCAGGUAUAGAACUACCUGCUGGAAGGUAUCCAAAGAAUGGAGCUACUGACAUGAUAAGGGCA